rnacentral:lncRNA from 1 species
GCGCUGGGCCUAUAUACCGAAGAGUUCAAGGAGAAGAAUGGUUUAGAUACUCUCAACUGCCAUAUCCAUCGUUCUCCUUCACGGUGCUGAGACGCACUACUACCAAGUGCAGCCACCUAUAAUCCUAGUCGCUCCAAGGCAUAGGUUCUCCCUCCAUCUCUGAGGUACCUUCACGCCAUUUUGGCUCACACGAUUAUAGGAAGGCAAGAGAGCACUGGCGUCGUCAACACCCACGACGCCUACUUUCUAUGGUGUAUGCCACACGGGCACGUCAUCGACCUUGCCUAUUUCAUUACCCUUGCCCUUCAACACUAGACAGAGCGGCAUAGGAAGGGGGUCAUCUCCAUUAGCCCCUAUGUUACUCGGUUGGCUCGACACUUCGGGCUCCUCAGCACCGCGGCCCAAGAAUCAUCCUUGACCCACAUUGGCCAAAUGUCUCCACAAGGCAUCUUGAGCAUGCUAAGCAUGAGGAUGAUCGAAAAGCGUCGAGGAACCUACCCACCUCAAUAUUGUCUCAUCCAAUCUACUGAGGAGGAAGUAUCCGAGGACAUUACUGAUAUGUCCCCCCACAGCACGAGGACCUACCGUCUCAACCACUACCACCCUCUCGUCCAGUUCAUACGGCGGCUUCAUAUGCUGACAUUUCUGAGUGAUCACUCGAUUCGAGCAGUAGUGUUUUCAAUGAUUUGAAAACAUUGAUGCUACUCUACAGCAGAUCUGUCAGCACCUCCAAAUCUCAUCGCCACCCCCACCUCCCGAACCAUCUAGCGAUGAAGAUGUUUAAAAACAUUUAUUUAUUAUUUUAUGUUUUUACUUUUAUUUUAUUUUAAGACUACUUUUUAUUUUUCUUUCAUCUUAUUUUUAUUAGGAUUUAUAAAUUUUAUUUCACUAUUUUGAAUUCCGGUAAUUUCCUGCCGAGUAAUCAUUUUUCCUUAUAUAUUUUCUAGAAGAGUUCCUGAUGCUAUCACAGUUAUAAAAAGCUCCAAAGCUCAUCAUCACAUAGGAACUCUAAACUCCACUGGGAAAGGUUCUCCACGACUGCCAUGUCCUACUCAACCACGACCAUAACCAAUUUCAGAUAUAAUAUACUUUUGGAACAGGACUUAUGAACUAAUGAACCUCUACCACUGCCGGAGUAUCCACCUCCACCCUCACGCCAAUUAUUCUCCGACAUUCCAGUUCAAGGAAAUUCAUUCUUCACUCAGGAAGUUUCACUUCUCUCUCUAUCUUAUUUUGACAUUCUUUUCUAUAUAUCUAUCUUUGUGCAUUGAGGACAAUGUACAUCUUAAGUGUGGGGGUAUCCAUUUUAUUAUCAGAAAAAUCCCUGAAUGACUGCCUUGUUCUCUUGAAAAGCUCUCAUAUCGUAUUUAGGAUAAAAUUUGAUUGAUUUACGAUUUUAAUUGAUAUAUCUUGAAUUAAAACAUAGGAAUUUAUGCAUUGAUUGUUUAAACUUUAAGACAUUAAGAGAAUCAAGCAUGAUAAGUUAAUUUUUAAGAAUUUAAAAUUUUAGGUUAUUUCCCCAAAGUUUAGGUAUUACUUUGAGUUAGAAUUCACAAGUUUUAAACAUCAAAAAGCCAUAAUUUUUAUGAGAUUUUUGAGCCUUUUGAGCAUCUGUUAACUCUUUCAUGCUCACUUUUAUUAUUGCUUUGAGUACGUCAGUAAUUGAAACUGUUAUUCUAGAACUUGCUUGAUUAUGCAUAUGAAGACCACACCAUUUGAUUUGAUAUAUCAAAAUGAUUAAGGCACUUAGGAUUAACCCACUCAUGCCAUGAAAAGCCUACCUCCACGAUUAACCUCUAGUGAACCCCCUUGAGCCUAACAAGCCAUCCCUUGUAUUAUCCUUAAUAUUAACCCUUAACCCAUUAUUGUUGAAAUCCCCUAAAUUAAUCUUGAUCCCUAUUUUUGUCGAGAUUUGAAUUGAAAUAGUUGCUCAGCUAUGUCUUGUUCUUAAUAGUUAUUCUAUGUUAUUUAACUUGUUCUUGUAAAAAAAAUAUGUGUAUGUAUACAUAUUAGUAGUUAUCUUUUGAGCCAAUGAAGUUAAAUUUCAUUUUCUGAGAAGAAGCUCUGUUGUACGAAAGUGAUGAUUAAAUCUUUUUCUAGUUAAGUGAUUUUUCAAUUCAAUCUAAAUUCUAACCGUUUCUUUCAGCUUGUGACCACACCCCUUAACCAAAGCCACGUUACAACCCUCUAAAGACCUUUUGACUGAUGUAUCAUCUAAAUUUAUAGUGGUGGAGAUGUGAUUUUCAUGCAAGCCUAUGGUAAUGACUUUUCAUUAUUGACUAUUGAGUACUGCAUUUAUUGUCCUUAAACACCUCGAGUGAUUUGAGUGAAUCUUUAGUGAGGAUGUGAAACUCUGUGACAUUUUGAAUCAAAGGUAAUUACUUAGACGAUGGGAGACACCUAUAUUUUUAUGAUAAAGUGCUCAACUUGGAAUGAUUGAAACUUUGAUGUUCUUUCAGUUGAAUUUUAAUUGUAUGAUUACUUAUGGAUUAUUUUGAGAUAUUUUCGAUAGAAAUUAUAAGUUUAGAAGAAUUUAUUUUGAUUAUGAGUUGAGGAUAUUGCUUGAGGACAAGCAAAUGCUUAAGUGUGGGGGUAUUUGAUAAACCAUAAUUUAUACAUAUUUUUACCCUAUGCUUAACACAUUUUAUGGAUGAUUUUCCCUUAGAAUUGGUGAAUUCGAUGCUCCUAAUGCCUUAAUUUCAUGUUUUAUACUUAGGAGAAUAUAGGAGAGCAAAAAGAACAAGAAAGGCCAAAAACGGAGAAAAUGGGCCAAGGUACAAAAUCAACACGGACUGGACUUCCUCACACGGGUAGACCAUACGACCGUGUCAAUUUGGUAGAAUCGAAGCAAAACUCACACAGGCGUGUCCCUGCCGAGCCCAAGUUGAGUCCAAUUCGGAAAAGGCUAAUUUCGAGGGUUCUUAAGCAUUCCAAAGCCUAUAAAUACACCCUAGAGGAGAAAGGAAAAGGGAGGCACAGAAAGGGAGGAAGGAAUUACUCGAAGAAAGCUGAUUGUUCCAUCUCAGAAGUCGGAUCCAUCAUCAAGACUAAAGAUCUCCCAUCAAUUUCCCUUCAAGAGUUUUGAGUUUUCUUUAUGUUUUGUAUUCGUUAUUCUUCUGAGAUAUUUUCCUUUUUAGUUAUGAACUAAAUCCCCUAAAUACGUAAGGGGAAUAAAACCUAAGACGAAUCGUGUUAUUAUUUUCUAAAUUGUAUGAUAAAUAUUUAACUUGUUCUUAAUUAUAUGUUCUUAAUUCUUGUUUUGAUAUCCCAGGAUACUGAUUCAAGAUAAGCUAUUAUUCAGAGGAGGAAUAGACCCUGUCUAAGAGUACAUUUGUCAUAAUUAAGCGGAGUUGAUUGCGUGCCUAGAGAUAGGGUGACAAGAUUUUGUCGGAUUAGGGUGAAACCUAAUAAGGGGGUCCAUAGAUCAAGUUAAUGCAACCCUAAGGUGUUAAUUAGAGAAAAGUAUCAAUUAUUCAACUAGGGAUUAGACGUUAUUAGUCUUGAAUAGGGAUAAUAACAUAACUUAGAGAUCUCUACGGAACAAGUUAAAUGAAUAAAUCAUCCGAUUCGGAGCUAGAAUAACAAGUAAAGUCUAGGUGGAUUUUUCCUUAGGUAUUGUCUUAAUUCAAUCGUUUUCCAAAAGUAAUCCCCCAAAUUAUACUUUUUAUGAAUUCUUAGUUUAGAUAAUUAGUUAGCUAAAACAAAACCCCUUUAUUCUUAGGCUAAAUAAUAAAAAGACAUUCAUUACUAGUACUUUUAGUUUCUUUGGGGUCGACAAUCCAGUCUUGCUAAAACUAUACUACUAUUCGAUAGGUACACUAGCCUAUAUCGUGAUAAUAGUUAGUUUCAAGAACGAUUCAUUAUAAGUAUUUAAAACCUGUCACACAAAAAUCGCGAUCAAUGGCCUGGUUUUGUAUGAAUGUUUUAAUGUAAGUCUGGUAAUGCCUCGAACCCUGUUCCGAUGUUGGAUACGGGUAAGGGGUGUUACACUUGAAAUGGCCAAAUGCGCCAUUUGGACCCUAAUGAUUGAUUGAGUGUUGUAGUGUUGAUGGCCCAAAUUUGAGUGAAAACAUUUCCACAAGCAGAGUAUCACGAUAUCAGAGUACGAAUAUCACGACACCUUCAACAAACUUGAAAUGAAGAGAAUGAGAGCCACAUACAGUGGUUUCGCGAUACCCACCCUUGGGCAUCGCAACAUCCACCAUCAAGGACACCCCUAAGUAGAUUGUCAGUGAUCACACGAUACCCCUAUCGUACGAGGACAAAAAAUGACAUCAGGAGUAGUUUUUGUCCACUCAAAGCACCAAUCAAAAUCAGCUUUAAAAGCUAAAAAUUGGCUGAAAAAGGAGGAGGUUGUAGUUUAGGUUAAAAAGCUAUGUGGAUUAAGGUUUCUUUCUAUUUUUUAAUUUAGGUUUAGGGUAGUUUUCUUCUUCAUAGUUUAGGGUUUUAAUUCUCUAUUUGUUUCUUUAUUUUCCUUGUAUUUUCUUAGUUAGUUUAGUUUUUAUUGUAUUUAGGUGUUAUUUAUUUAGUAACCCUUUAAACUUUCUUGUAGUUACAUUUUAAUCUCACUUUAAUACUAUUUAGCUUUCCUUAAUUUCUACUGUUAAAAUCAUUUCUUUAGCAUUUUUGCUUAUUGUUCUUGCAAAAAACUAUCCAAGGUUUUGCAAGAAAGUUUGGAUUUGUAUUCACCUUUAGUUAAGUUUAAAUUCAUGCUUUCUUUGCUUGAUUAUUUUUUGUUUGUAUGUUUAGAUAUGAGUAUGAGUAGCUAAAUCUAAGGUAGUUGGUUGAUGAAAAUGUUGGGUAGUUGAAUUUUGGGUUUAGGGACUAAAUCGUAAAAUAUGGACUAAAUUGAAUAAACUUCAAAACUUCAAGCAAAACUUCUCUAAGAAUAUCCCAAUCAACGUUUUCCAACAUAGCAGAAUAGUCAUCUUCGAUGUUUGGUAUUUCAAACAGAUCAUUAAUAACUUUUGGGGUGAGAGAUACCUUUUUGCCUCGAAUAUAGAUUUCUAUUGUAGUGGAUGAGGUUAAGUUUGCAUAGAAUUCUUUGUCUAAUUAUGCUUUCGAAAAUGGUCUCACAUCACAAAAUAAGUUUUAUCUCAGCUUGUACACUGUCUUCUAAAUAAUUGUCAGCACUAUAGUACAAUCAAUAUUCGUCAAGCUAAACCCUUUGUCUAAGAGCAUCAUUUGAUCCUUGAAGAUGGAUUCAAACCUCUCUCUUGCUUCUUCGGCAUGGAAUCGAUUUUGGAAAUCAUUGGGUUAGCAUGUAGAACUCUUUCUCUUAUGAGACAUUAUGCAAACAAUUGGUGUGCCAGAUCGGGACUUGUGGAAUAUUCGUGAGAUUUAAUCAAAAGGGGUGUUCGACAAUAAUAGUGGCAAUGAUGGUGGUUGGGGAUGGUAGUGAUGCUAAUAAGCCAUAAAAGUAACAUGUUUUUAAUCCCAUUCUUGAUGUGUUUUUAGAUGAUUUAUUAUAUAAAUUAGUGAAUUUGAUGCUCCUAAUAUUUUAAAUUCAUGUUUCUAUACUUAGGUGACCAUAAAGGAGCGAAAGGAGCGAAAAACGAGCCAAAAUCGAGAAAAAAGAGCUAUUUCCAGGAUCCACACGGCCUGGGCAUUUCCACACGCCCAUGUGCCAAUCCGUGUCGAUUUCACACCCUGCUUCCCUGUUACGCGAAAAAGCCCAAUUUUUAAGGUUUCUGAGCAUUCUAAAGUUUAUAAAUACACACUAGAAGAGAACCUAAAGAGGAUAUAUGGAGUAGAACGCAGAAAUUACUUGAAGAAUGCCUACGGAUUGAACUCGGAAGCAGGAUCUCCUUCAAGACUUAAGAUCUCCCUUCAAUUUCUCUCGAAGUUUUUGGGUUUCUUUAUGUUUUGUUAUUUUCCUAUUUUUGAGAUGUUUUUCCCCAAAAUUAUGAACUAAAUUCCCUAGAUACCUAGGGAAGAUGAAACCUAUGAUGAAUUUUAUUAUUUAAUUUUCUGAAUUUCAUGAUAAAUACUUAUUCUUGUUCUUAAUUAUGUGUUACUAAUUCUUGCAUUAAUAUUUUUAGGAUAUUAAUUCAAGUUUGAUAUGCUUAUUCAGUGGAGCAAAAGUCCCUGUUUAAGAGUAGAUCUAGUAUAAUUAAGCGGAGUUGAUUGCAAUCCUAGAAAUAGGACGACAUAAAUCUGCCGGAUUAGAGUCAAAUCUAAUAAGGGAAUCCAUAAAUCGAGUUAAUGCGACAAUAGGGGUUUUAAUUAGAAAGAGAUUUCAAUUAAUCAACCUAGAGUCAGUUGUUCUUAUUCUCGAAAGAGAUAUUAACAUAAUUUAGGAAUUUUUACGGAUCAAGACAAGUGAAUAAAUCGUUUGAUUCAGAGUCAGAAUAAUAAAUGAAAUCUAGCUGGAUUCUUCCUUGGGUAUUGUCUUUAUCAUUGGUUUAUUCGAUUAUUUCCUUCACUCUCUGUCGUGUUCAUUAGUUAAUUAGUUUAGUUAAUUUUAGAUUAAAAAAAUCUCUUUUAUUUAAGGUUAAAUAAUAGAAAGAUAGUUAAUACUAAUACUUUUAGUCCUUGUGGAUACGAUAUUUUGGACUCACCAUAGCUAUACUACCAUUCGAUAGGUGCGCUUACCUUUGUCGUGAUCGUAGUCUAGUUUAGUGAAUCAUAAAAUAAUCAUCAAGUUUUUGGCAUCGUUGUCAGGGACUAAAAUAUUAGGAAUACUAGAUUUUUAUUACUUUAGCCAUUUUUAUUUUUAUUUUUAUUUUAUUUUUUAUUUUACUUUUAAUUUACUAACUUUUCUUUUAUUUGCUUCUGGGAAGUUCCUUUAGUUUAUAACUAGAAGAAACCCGUUAGGACCUCUAGUAUUCGACAGUGAGAUCAAAAGUACAGCUCACAGAAACCAUAGUGAAGCGAAACAAAGUCAACAAAGUACAAUAGAAGAGCAAGAUGAAAUUAUUAUUAAUACUGAUGAGAUGGCAGAAAAUCAUAAUAAUUAGUUACCUCCUGUGGUUGCUGUAAAUCCUGUAAAUCUGAAUCCUGCUCCUCGUACUAUGUACGAUUAUGCCAAGCCCAAUUUAACUAGGGCUGAAUCGAGUAUUGUUAGACCUGCUAUUGCUACAAAUAAUUUUGAAGACCUCAGAAUAAUCCCUAUAGUAACACUUAUAAUGCAAGUUGGAGGAACCAUCCCAACUUCUCUUGGGGUAGUCAAGGAAAUCAGAGACCGCAACCCCCUCUAGGCUUUCAACCACCUUACCAGCAGGAAAAGAAUCCAAACCUUGAGGAGAUGUUGACGAAGUUUAUUUCGGUGUCAGAAACUUGCUUCCAAAACACCGAAACAGCACUUAAAAAUCAACAAGCGUCGAUUCAAGGGCUCGAGAAUCAAAUAGACCAACUGGCUAAGUUGAUUUCAGAAAGACCACAAGGUAGCUUGCCAAGUAAUAUCGGAACUAACCCAAGAGAACAACUUCAUGCAAUCACUGUGAGAGAUGAAAAAGGGUUAGUAGAACAUGAACCAAAACCGAGGCAAGAAAUUGUGGUAAGUAAAGAUAAGGUUGAGGUUAGCCACAGUGAACAGAAAUCGGUAAGCAAAGAAUAUAAACCUCAUGUGCCAUACCCCAACGCGACGAAGAAAGACCAUACCAAUGAUCAAUUUGGUAAAUUUCUUAAACUCUUGAAAAGGUCAUAUAUUAACUUACUGUUUAUUGAAGCUCUUCCGCAGAUGCCCAACUCAGUUAAAUUUUUAAAGGAGCUUUUAGCAAACAAACGAAAGUUAGAUGAUACGUCGCACGUAGAGCUAAAUGCAGUUUGCUCAAACAUUUUAUAGAAUAAACUACCUAACAAGUUGAAAGAUCCAAGGAGUUUUACUAUUCCUUAUUUAAUUGGUAGUUUAAGUGUUAACAGUGCUUUGGCUGACUUAGGGGCUAAUAUUAAUGUCAUGCCCUACAAAAUGUUUAAGCAACUAGUUCUUGGGAAACCCAAACAAACUAGGAUGAACAUUCAAUUGGUAGAUAGAACAAUUAGAUUUCCUAGGGAUAUUGUUGAAAACGUACUGGUCAAAAUUGAUAAAUUUAUUUUCCCAUUGUUGUUCUAGACAUGGAUGAGGAUAGUGACGUACCGUUGAUUUUAGGACGACCCUUUUUAGCAACUGCUAGAACUAUCAUAGAUGUUGGUAUAGGUGAGUUAAUACUUCGUGUAGGUGAUGACACAAUUAAACUCCAAGCUCAUGAUUCUGUUAGGAUAUCUAGUGAUCGAGAUGAUAUUACAAGUUCUGUUAAUGUUAAUAACCUUGUGGCUCAACAUUCUUUGAAGGAAACACCUCAGAAAAACGUGACAGAGCUGCAGUCCAGUCUACAUGAAAAAAACAGAACAAAUCAUGAAGAAAGAAGAUUACAAAUCGAUGAACUAGAUGAAUGGCGGACACACAUCAAGGAGAAACCUAGAAUACACGAUGAACCAAAACGACUUCAUGACGAGCUUAAGGAUGGGACGAACCAAUUUAAUAUUGGCGAUCAGGUAUUGUUGGAUAAAAUGGACCCCCGAAUCACCACUUUAUAGCUUAAUGCAAAAGGAGAAACUCCUUUUACGAUACUGAAUAUUUUUCCUUACGGUGCAGUCGAGGUAAAUCAUUCUAAAUUUGACACUUUUAAAGUAAAUAUUACUCGACUAAAACCUUAUGUUGAUAAUAGAUUUGACUGUGAGAAAGAGGAGUUUCGGCUCCUUAAACCACCAUAACCGUGCGAAUACGAGGUAAGUCGAGCUUAGACUUUAAAUAAGCACUUCUCGGGAGGCAACCCGAGUGUUAACAUUGCUAAUUUUCUUAACAUUAUUUCAUGAUUUUUUUAAAUUAAUUAAUUUUCAAAAUCUAAAAAAAAAGUAUGUUUUUGACCCACACGGGUGUGUGGAACACACGGCCUAGCCACACGGGCAUGUGGGAUCUCACAUGGACGUGGGAAAAGCAAAGAAAAACACACACAGCCUGGGGACCUAGCCUUGUGACCCACAUGGCCUGGACACACAGGCGUGUCCUAGGCCGUGUGAAACCUGGAUCUAAUUUUUUUCAAAGUCAGAGAGUUACACGGCCUGGCCACACGAGUGUGUAGAACACAUGGCCUAGCCACACGGGCGUGGGAUAAGCGAAGGAAAUCACACACAGACUGGCGACAUGGCCAUGUGACCCACACGGCCUGGACACACGGGCAUGUCCAUGGCCAUGUUAAAACUGGGUUAAUCACCCCAAUUUUAUUUUAUUUUAUUUUAUUUAUUAUUAAUUGUUAUAUUAUUCAUUUUAAUUUUACUAAUUAAUUAAUUAUUCUUAUACUUAUAUUUUAAUUUUUUAAUUUUAAUUUUUUAUAUACUUUUAUUAUUUUUAUUUUGUUAUUUCUAUUUUUUUUUCUUUUUUUCGUAUUUUUUACUAUUAUCAUUACAAUUACCUUUAAGUUUAUUGAUAUCAUUGAGUUUAUUAUUAUUAUUUUUUAUUAUUUUUUUAUCUUUUUUUAGUUUAGUUUUAGUUGUUUUAUUUUUUAUUUUUUUUAUUCUUCAACUUAUUUUCAUUAUUAUCUUUUGAAAUAUUUAUGGUUGUUUCUAAUAAAGUUAUAACCCCUUAAUCUUCUUUAUUAUUUGUGUUUAUUUUCUUGUUAGUUUGCUCGGAAUCAUGAGUUACAUUUAGAUUUGACUGCAAUUCCGCUUUUCACUAUUCUGAAGAUUUCAUCCAAUAUUCAGGGCAGUUUCAGUUUUCUCCCUCUCUUAUGAUAUUCUGUUUAUACUUUGAUUAUAUAUGUUUGUACAUUGAGGACAAUGUACAUCCUAAAUGUGGGGAGGUUAUCUAUAGAAUUAUUAGAAAACCCCUGAAUUCUAUCUUGUGUUUAAGUAAUUUUCUCACAUUACUAUUAGAAUGAAUUCUUAUUGAUUUAUGAUUAUUAUUGAUGUGUUUUAGAUUAAAUUCAUAGGUAAUUGUGCAUUGAUUGUUUAAACUUUAAGACACUAGAGAAUCAAACAUGAUAAGUCUAUUUUCAAAAUUAAAAAUUUUAGGUUGUUUCCCUAAAUUGAAGUAUUACCUUGAAGUUUGAGAUUUGCAAUAUUAACAUCAAAAACCAUAAUUUUUGUGAGAUUUUGAGCCUUUAAAGCAUACACUUUUCUUGCUCACUCUAUUAUUGGUUAUGAGUAUGCCAAUACUGAUUGGUUAUUCUAGAAUUUGCUUCGAUUAUACAUGUCGAGACCACACUUUUGAUUUGAUAUACGGAGAUGAUAAAGGCACCUAGGUUUUAACCCAUUUAUCCCAUAAGCCUACCUUCAUAAUUAACCCUUAGUGAACCCCCUUUAAGCCUAACAAACCGUUUCUUGAUUUACCCAUUAAUAUUAACCCAUAAUUUUUUUUUGAUUCAUUGAUAAUUGUUUCCCUUUUUUAUUGACUCCCUUUUUGUCGAAAUUUGAUUUGGUUAGUUGCUUAACUAUGUUCUUUUAUUUUAGUCGUUAAAUUUUCUCUUAUUAUCUAUUGUUCUCAAAAAAAUGAAAAAAUAUAUUUAUGUUGAUUAUUACUAGUUCUAUAUUUUUGAGCUUAAGUAGUUGAUUUCAUUUUUGAGAAGAAGCUCAUGUUAUUCUUUAAUAAUUUCGAUUGAUGUAAUUAUUCAGUACUAGUUUAUUUUUCUAGUUAGGUAAUUUAUCAAUUCAAUCUCAAUUCUAACCUUCUUUUUCAGCCUUUAUCCACACCUUUAACCUAAGCCUCGUUACAACCCUUUAAAGACCUUUUGAUUUGUGUAUCAUAUCAUUUUAUAGUGGUGGAGAUUUGAUUUUCAUGCAAGCGUAUGGUAAUGACUUUUCUUAAUUGACUUUUGAGUGCUUAGUUUUUGAAAGUUAAACACUUUGAGUGAUUUGAGUGAAUCUUUAGUGAGGAUGUAAAAUCUUGUCGAUUUUGAAUUAAAGGUAAUUACUUAGAUAAUGGGAGAUACCUAUGUUUUCAUGUAUUAAAAAAAUGUGUGACUUGGAUUGUUUGAAUCUUUAGGGCUCUUUUUGUUGAAUUAUCAAUGUGUGAUUAUUUGUGAAUUAUGACAAAACAUUGUUGAUGAGAAUUACAUGUUGAGAAAGAUUAAUUUUAAUUGUGAGUUAAGGGUUUUGCUUGAGGACAAGCAAAUGCUUAAGUGUGGGGAUAUUUGAUAAGCCAUAAAAGUAACAUGUUUUUAAUCCCAUUCUUGAUGUGUUUUUGGAUGAUUUAUUAUAUGAAUUAGUGAAUUUGAUGCUCCUAAUCUUUUAAAUUCAUGUUUCUAUACUUAGGUAAGCAUAGGGGAGCGAAAGGAGCAAAAAAUGAGCCAAAAUCAAGCAAAAAGUGUUGUUUCCAAGAUCCACACGGCCUGGGCAUUUCCACAUGGGCUGGCCACACGCCUAUGUGAGCCACACGAGAUGGCCACACGCCCAUGUGCCAGUCCGUGUUGAUUUCGCACCCUACUUCCUUAUUACGCGAAAAAACCCAAUUUUUAAGGUUUCUGAGCAUUCUAAAGUCUAUAAAUACACACUAAAAGAGGACCUAAAGAAGACACAUAGAGUAGAAAGUAGAAAUUACUCGAAGAACGCCAACGAAUUCAACUCAGAAGUAAGAUCUCCUUUAAGACUGAAGAUCUCCCUUCAAUUUCUCUCGAAGUUUUGGGGUUUCUUUAUGUUUUGUUGUUUUCCUAUUUUUGAGAUGUUUUUCCCCAAAAUUAUAAACUAAAUUCCCUAGAUACCUAGGGAAGAUGAAACCUAUAAGGGAUCUUAUUAUUUAAUUUUCUGAAUUUCAUGAUAAAUACUUGUUCUUGUUCUUAAUUAUGUGUUAUUAAUUCUUGCCUUAAUAUUUUCAGGAUAUUAAUUCAAGUUUGAUGUGCUUAUUCAGUGGAGCAAAAGUCCCUGUUUAAGAGUAGAUCUAGCAUAAUUAAGCAAAGUUGAUUGCAAUCCUAGAAAUAGGACGAUAUAAAUCUGCCAGAUUAGAGUCAAAUAUAAUAAGAGAAUCCAUAAAUCGAGUUAAUGCUACAAUAAGGGUUUUAAUUAGAAAGAGGUUUCAAUUAAUCAACCUAGAGUCAGUUGUUCUUAGUCUCGAAAGAGAUAUUAACAUAAUUUAGGAAUUUCUACGGAUCAAGACAAGUGAAUAAAUUGUUUGAUUCAGAGUCAGAAUAAUAAGUGAAGUAUAGGUGGAUUCUUCCUUGGGUAUUGUCUUUAUCAUUGGUUUAUUUGAUUAUUUCCUUCACUCUCUGUCAUGUUCAUUAGUUAAUUAGUUUAGUUAAUUUUAGAUUAAAACAAAUCCCUUUUAUUUUAGGUUAAAUAAUAGAAAGAUAGUUAAUACUAGUACUUUUAGUCCUUGUGGAUAUGAUAUUCUGGACUCACCAUAGCUAUACUACCAUUCGAUAGGUGCGCUUGCCUUUUUCAUGAUCGUAGUCUAGUUUAGUGAAUCAUAAAACAAUCAUCAGAUGAUGGUGAUAAUAGUGGUACGGUGGCAAUGAGUGGCGGCUUUGUUUAGGGUGGAUUUGACCGAUGAUAGACGAGGUAAGAGGGUUGGCAAGGUACAGCUAGGGUUUUGGUAGAGGAGUGGCAUCGAUUUGGUGGUGGAAGAGAGCAACGAUGGUAGGUGUAGCAACAAGGGUGUACGACAGCGAGGUGGUGCAGUAGUAAAAAGGAGCGACAAUGUUACAUCCCAAAAAUCGGGUUAGAAAAAAUUGGGUUAGUGAAUUGAGAGUUGCCAUUCCUUGACUUUUAAGCUUAUGUUUGCAUAUAUAUAUAUCAAAUAUUGAGUAAUUGGCCUAGUAGUAAAAAGCUAGUGAAAUUGUCUUUGAGACCCAAGUUUAAUUCAUUUCCUUUGCAUGCUUUUUUUUUUCCAGCUUAUUUUUGCUUCCUAAAACCUUGUUAUCAUUCAAGCCUCUUUAACCUAAUAUAUAUGCUAAGUUUCAUCCUUCUUUUAUUCAUUUUCACUCUCUCAUUAUCGUCCUUUACUUUUUCCCUCACCUUUUUUUUUCUUUCCAUUUUUUUCAUUCUUUUACCAUUGUUGCUGAAACUCACUACAUCUCUCUGCUUACUCUUUUAGCUUUUUUGUUGUGCCACUCAUUGUUCUUCCAUUUUUACAAUUGUUGUCACUUUUUUCUUCAUUAUUUUUCCCAAUUUUAGUCACCUCUUUGCUGUCAUUUUCCAGCCUUUUCUAUUAUUUUCUUCAACCAUUUUGCUGCUGCCAUUUUCUUCUCUUUGCUGCCCAUUGUAGCCUCUUCCUCUCUCUUUUUUUUGCUGUUAAUUUUUGUCAUUGUCACACCGUUUUUUUUUUUGUUUUCUUCCCUUUUUUUUCUAUUACAAUCAGCUUUUAAUCUUAUCAUUUAAGUAUGCAUUUGAUCUCGUCUAGUUUGCCAUCUCGAAUUUAGAAAUUGAAAGAGCAUACGUGCUGAUUUUUUUCAAGAUCUAGUGUUGUAUCUACCAUUGAUAUUUCUCUAUUUUGGCCGAAUGUCUCUAAGGCCAUAGUCGAUUUUUCUUUUGCUGGUUUUUGAUGUUAUUGUGUCAUAAAGAAAAAUCUAAACACCCCGAAUCAACAGUGACAACAGAAUUAGUUCCUCGAGCAUUUCUUUUGUCCUAGGUUUGAAGUCAUUCAUGUAACUUACUUCAAGGAAAGUAGCAUGUGCAAAAAUCUUUCAAAUUAUAAAAUAAACCACACUUUGUUCCCUUCGGAUAUCCUACAAACAUGCGCAAUUCUGUCCGUGAGUCCAACUUCAUCACAUCCUUAUCCAAUACGUGGGUUGGGCAUCAAUAGUGUGUUUGAAAAUAAUAUACAAUAAAUAACAAAUUACAUGGUUUGAAAUUAAUUAAUAAUGUAAAUAUUAUGUUAAAAUAAAGCUUUAGGUUAGUAGUAGAUUUAAUGUUUUAUUGCUAUAAAUAGCAUAUGGUCAAAUCGAAUCACAUGUAAUUUUUUAUUAGUUUUUUAGAAAUAAAAAGACCAAAAUUAUAACUUAUUUUAAUUACAGAAAGAUAUUUUUGAAAUUUCCCUAACCGAGUUAGUGUCCAGUUGGCUUGUGACAUCAACACAGUCAAGAGCUUAAAUAAUAAUAUAGAUUUAUACAAUUGAUAGAGGUAAUAAAAUAUGUAUAUUAAAAUAAAACGGUAUAAAAUAUUAAAAUAAAAUUUUGAUUGAAUAGUAAAUUUGAAGUUUUACUAUUGCAAUUACCAUGGGUUCAAAUCUUACCAUAUACAUUUCUUUUUUAUUUUUUAAAUAAAAAGAUUAAUAUACCCUCAAAUAAUAUAACAUUUUUUUAAUUACAUAAGGACAUUUUCAUAAUUUCCUUUACCGAGUUGAUAGUCAAUUAACUCGUGACACUAACUUAAUUAAGAGCUUAAAUAAUAGUAUAUUAAAAUUAUUUAGUUGGAUAAACAAUAUGAUUUUCAACAUAAAAAUUAAUAGUUUAGAGAUUAAAAUCUUAUCAAUCACAAACAAAAUUUUGAAAGAACAAUAUGAUUAAAAUGAUUCUACUCUAAAUUUUGAUAUUUGACUCAUUCGUCAAAAGUGUUCAUCCUCAAAUUCAUGUUAAAGCCGAAUGCUUGUAAUAGAAGAGACCAACCGUUGUCAGUUAAGCUUGUUUUUGGCCUUUGUUUGUUGUUUCUUAGUUGCUGCCAUUCAUGCCAUAUGAACCAAUUAACAAACCUAGUCCUUGAAGUUAAAUCAUUUUUUCUUCUUUUGCAAGACAUUUUCUAAAAAAAAAAAAAACAAUAACACAAGGCUUGAUCUUUAUUAAUUUAUAACAUACACCAACAGAAUAAAAAAAAAACCACAACCUAGUGGUAAAAUUAAAUUUAAAUAUAACUUCAACAUAUUUAAAUCAAUCCUUACUUUUUCAAUACAAAAAUUUUAAUCCAAUCAUUUCAACGAAAACAGCUUAAUCAACAUUUUAAAUAUACGUUAGAAUUUAAGUUCACGCUAGUGAAACUAAAUAAAUCCGUUCAUUUUGAAAUUUCGAUGAAUUUAAUUUUUGGUUAAAUAAACUUAUGGCAAUUUUAAUCUAUAAAAGAUUGAUCAAUGGACAAAGAGAAAACACACUUGGGACUGUUAAUGUGACGAAUACAAAUUUAAAUGAAAACGUGAGGUAAUAAGACUACAAUCUAACUUUUCUAGUUCAGCAAACAUGAUAGAACAGCAUUUCUUACAUGGAUCUUCUCUUAACUGUUUUUAAGACAAUCUAACCAAUUCCAUAUGACUGGUUGAAUUACCCACCCGACAUGUCGUUAAGAAAUCAGUUGUUAGACUCAAUCAAAAUCUCUUUAUUUUAAUAAUAAUUCCCACCUAACAAGAGUGGACUUAUUUACUUGUUUAUGUUCUUUUCAGUCUGUCUUUUCUUUGAAAAAUACAUUCAAAUCUUUUACAUUUUAAGUCUACAGUUAACCUGAACUAAGUUCCUUUCAACAGACUUUGCUUCAUCUCUCACGUCUCGACUAUAUCUUCCGUUUACAUUUUCAUGGGGCUGACGUUGAAUGACUUUGAUAAAUUAUGAAAAUUGUAUUUAAGUAGGUUAGCCAUUUCACGGAAUUUAUUAUAAUAAUAUGAUGGAAUUGAGUUCAUCGAAAUUGUUGAGUCAAGAUUUGGUGUUGCAUUCAUUACUAUUUAUUUCUAAAAUUUGUUAUAUUCGAUGUCGGCAAUUUAAUUAAUUAUGAUGAUAUUUUUGAGAUAUGGAAGUUUAAUUUUGGAAAUUAAUAUGUUGCAUUGUGAUCAUCGGAUUGAAUAAUUAUAAUUUUUUUUUUAUUAUGGAGAAUCGUUCGAGAUUGUUUGAGAUUGUAUUAUGAAUUAUUAAAAAAAUUGAAUCCCUAUUAAUUCACGUUUUAUUGAAUUUUAUUAGCAUAUUAUAUAUUUUUGCUAUUUUGUAACUGUUGUUUUAUAAAGGUUGCUUUAUAUUCAAUCAUUGUGUAGGAUUUUUAUCAGAGUAUAGUGAGAGCAAUUUGCUUGUUCAUUAAGGAAUUUAUUGUAUAUGUGUAAUUGAAGAGUAAACCUCUAAUGUUUACAAUUAAGGAGAGAAUUUAGAGGUGGGUAUUUGUCUUUAGGUACAAUGGUGUGAUUUUUAUAUUUGGGCAGUAAUAGAGUAUGAUUCACUUGUUAUAUUUUAAAUUAAAGAUAGUAAAAUUACUCAUUGAGUUAGGUUCCGUAGAUGUAGAAAAACUAAAUUACAUAAACAAACAUUAAUGUCCUUUGUUAUUUUGUUUACACAGUUUUUACAAUGUCAACUCACUGUGGCUACUAUAAUAAAACACUUCCAUUCAACUUACUCUUUUUGAGCAAAUAAUAAUUUUAGGUUCCAACAUAAAUGAACUCAAUUUGAAAUUCAAGGUUUAAAGUGUAAUUUAAUUUUCUGUUUUAACUUUGAACUUAGUUCAAGAUAAAAGUUAAACUACUCAAACUAGCUCGAUUAGGCUGUACUAAACUUGUUUACUUGGUAAAAAUUAAGUUUUACUUCAAACUUUGACCAACCCUAAAAUCAUAGUAUCCUAAUAUAUACUUGACUUGAAUAACUCAAGAAACUUAAGAUCUUUUGUACCUUUAAUAUAUAUAUACAAAUAUAUAUUAAAAAAUCUCAAUUUAGAUUCAAAUUAUUGAAAACUUGAAUUAUUUUAGAGUUAAAAAUGCAAAUCAAAAGGGCAAUAGUUAAUUUAGUUCUAAAAAAAUAGUGUUGACUUGGUUAAUUUAUCUUCAAUCUAAUUACUUUGAAGUAUAAAUCAAGACAACUACAUGUAGUAUGAUUAAUUUUCAAAGGAAAAGUUUAUCAUCUAACUGAUUUUAAAAAAAAAGAAUAGAAGAAUUAAAAGGAAUUAUAAGAAAAUUUGUUGCUCUAGAAAGAGAAAAAAGAAAAAGAAAAUUCUUGUGAAGCAAGCAUUGAAGACAUAAUUCAGUAUUAAUGGGCUAGUGGGUGCAACAACUCUGUUGCAGGUUUGAACUAAGUGAAAAAAUCACCAUUUUAGCCCAAUCAAAACCUAAACUGACAACCUCUAAACAACAACUCUUAUCUUUCCUAUAAAACCCCUUUUUCUCUAGCUCUGUCUCAUAUCACUUCUCAAGCAAAGCCUUUUGCUAUCUAAGCUUUGAUUAAAUGGGGAUUUUCAACAAGUUUUCCUUCAUUCUCCUUGUCAUUUUCCUUUCAUUGUCUGCAAAUGCAGAAGUUCAACGACAUCGAUUUGUUGUAUGUCCUUUUACUUCUUUCUUUUAAGAUAUAUAUAUAUAUUUCUGAUAAAUUGGUUUUCAUUAGACAUUUAAAUAAUAAACUUGAUGUUGGUUGGUGAAUGAAACAGAUUCAAGCAACAAAAGUGAAGAGGCUGUGCAAGACUCACAACACCAUCACUGUUAAUGGCAUGUUUCCUGGACCUACCUUGGAGAUCAAGAAUGGCGACACCCUUGAAGUUCAAGUUGUCAACAAAGCCCGAUAUAAUGUCACCAUCCAUUGGUAAUUUAAUAACUGCAAAUUCAUUCAUGCACGCAUGCAUGCAUGCCAUGCACGCAUGUCAUCAGCUUAAUUUCAUUCAUUUCUAGUUGUCAUUUGCACGUUUGAAUUACCCUAAUCACUUUGAUAUACAGGCAUGGUGUGCGGCAAAUGAGAACCGGAUGGGCAGAUGGACCGGAAUUUGUGACUCAGUGUCCGAUUAGACCGGGAGGAAGUUACACUUACAGGUUUACAGUUCAAGGACAAGAAGGAACAUUGUGGUGGCAUGCUCACAGUUCAUGGCUAAGAGCCACUGUUUAUGGAGCUCUCAUCAUCCGUCCCAUAGAAGGCAAAUCCUACCCUUUCCCUAAGCCGAAACGAGAAACACCGAUUCUUCUCGGUAAAGAAUCCUUUUCGUUUACGAGUACAAAUGAUUAAGAUGAUCAAAAUGAAAUGUUAUGUUGAUGAAUAUGAUUAUGAUUAGGUGAAUGGUGGGAUACAAAUCCCAUUGAUGUGGUGAGGGAAGCAACAAGAACAGGGGCAGCUCCAAAUGUCUCUGAUGCAUAUACCAUCAAUGCUCAACCUGGUGAUCUCUACAAAUGCUCCUCCAAAGGUAAUUUGCUCCGAACCAAUUGAAUUCGUACCGCACAUUUGGGUGACAAAGCCGAUGUUAUUAACUAAUGUUUUCUUUUUUGCAGAGACUACAAUAGUUCCCAUCGACUCCGGGGAGACGAAUCUCCUCAGAGUGAUCAAUGCCGCCUUGAACCAGCCGCUUUUCUUCAAAGUAGCCAACCAUAAGCUCACUGUUGUUGGAGCUGAUGCUUCCUAUACCAAACCCUUCACCACUUCCGUCCUCAUGUUAGGCCCCGGCCAAACCACUGAUGUUCUUAUCCGAGGUGAUCAGCCACCAUCUCGAUAUUACAUGGCAGCUCGAGCCUACCAAAGCGCACAAAACGCACCAUUUGACAACACGACCACCACAGCCAUUCUCGAAUACAAGUCUGCCUCUUGCGCUGCCAAAAAAUGCAAUGCACCCACUCCAAUCAUGCCUUCUUUACCAGCCUACAAUGACACCAACACUGUCACGGCCUUCAGCCAAAGCUUUAGAAGUCGAGAAAAGGCCGAAGUCCCAACCGAUAUAGAUGAAAGCCUGUUCUUCACAAUCGGCCUCGGGCUCAACAACUGCCCACCCAAUUUCCGAAAACGUCGUUGCCAAGGACCCAACGGUACACGUUUCACAGCGAGCAUGAACAAUGUCUCGUUCGUGCUCCCACGGAACUUCUCUCUGUUGCAAGCUCACCAACAAGGAAUUCCAGGCGUUUUCACCACAGAUUUCCCAGCAAACCCUCCAUUGAAAUUUGACUACACCGGAAACGUAAGCCGAUCGCUCUUUCAACCUGUUCCGGGAACCAAGUUGUACAAAUUGAAGUAUGGUUCAAGGGUACAAAUUGUGCUCCAAGACACAAGCAUAGUGACCCCUGAGAAUCAUCCAAUUCAUCUUCAUGGAUACGAUUUCUAUAUCAUUGCACAAGGUUUCGGGAACUUCGAUCCUAAAAAGGAUUCUUCUAAAUUCAACCUUGUUGAUCCACCUAUGAGGAACACUGUUGGAGUGCCUGUGAAUGGAUGGGCAGUCAUUAGAUUCGUCGCUGAUAAUCCAGGUAAACACUCUUCUUCAUCAUUUCAAUUACUACUACUUUUUCGUUUAUGAAAUAACCAUUCAUUUUGAUUUUUGUUAAUAGGGGUGUGGAUAAUGCACUGUCACCUGGAUGUUCAUAUCAAUUGGGGUUUGGCAAUGGCUUUCCUUGUCGAAAAUGGAGUUGGUAAAUUGCAGACCAUCCAACCGCCGCCGCCAGAUUUGCCCAUAUGUUAAGAGAGUUCAUCAGUUAUCAGGCCGUAGUCAAUGAAAUUCAUAAGCCCAAUAACAAGGGUGAUUCCAUUACCAUAUAUAUAUAUUUUUUUUUUUUUGUUAUUAGUAUUUUUCUUAAUCAUUUUCAUAGUACUGUAGCAUACCAAUUCUUCCCUGCAUUUGGGAAACUAUUUUAAUCCUCUGUUUCAUUGGAUAGCUUUGUUCUAUUCCUUUUAUUACAGAGAAACUUCUAAUGAUAAAUUUCGAAUCUUUAAUUCUUAUUGUACUUGUUUUUUCGAUAGUGUUUACUAAGUCAAUAAUCUGAACUGUUACCAAAAUCUAAUUAUUUUUUAAACAAAGUACGGACUUCUUUUAUUGAAGCAAUACAAUAAUUUUGUAUGAAUGGGAAUAAAAAAUAAAAAACAGUUAAAUAAAAUAUAAACCUUACGAGUUAAAAAAAAAAACAUAAAAUGAAAAGUAUAGAUUCCAAUUGCAAUUGAACUUUCUUCAAACUAAAAAUCAUAAUAUCAAAAAAUUGUAAAGCUCCCAAAUUCACUGUUGUCUACAUUUGUUGUUAGUUGCAAACGGUGACAGAAGCAUCUGGUAGUAAACAAGCAAAUGGCAAGCACCCUGACCGUUGAGACCUAUUUCGAUCCUCCAUCUCCCGCCAUGCACCAUCACCCUCAAACUUGACCCAUCCAUCACACCACCUCCGUAGACACUUUUCGUCGUUCGUCUUCUACAAGAAGAUAAUGAUCAAGAUCCUCUUCACUGACUAGCAUCCUGUCAAAAGGAAGAUCCAUGCGUAUCCAACUGCUGUUUGAGUUGCCCCUCGUGCAAACUGACAUUUUCACUUUCAUACAUAUAAAGCUCUCUUGAUAUCAUACGUUUUUGGUGACAAAUGAAUGAUAAGAGAUCCUGACUUCAGAAAGAUCCACGACCAUCUGUUCACCCCAAAUCUGCCUUCAUUUUGCUACAAAACGAUAGCAUCCAGUCCGUGUCCACUCCUCGAUCCAGUAGCAACAUCCUGGACGAUUGGAAGUUCACCCAACCCACCAUGGCACUUGACGGCAAGGCUUCUCCUAUAACCCAUCCCCUGUUGUCCGACGCUGCCUCUCGCCUACUUGCCCCUCACUCGAUUUACUCCUCCCCCUCGUCGAAAUUGAUAUACUUCCCCACCCUCUAUGGACAACUUUUCCAAAACCGCUACCAUAACCACUCAACAAAUCUCCAAACCACGACUUUACCCUCUUUUUCCCAUACGCUUGGAAAACCAAAAAGUUAAACAGAAAUCCAAACUACCAUGCUAUAUAAGCAAACAUAACCGUGCCAUAAAAGCAGAUAAAACCGUCAUGAAAAAACGUUUCUUCCAUGAGCAAAAAGUUCAUGAAAACCUAAAAACAAAAACGGAAAAAACAGAUUCUUCAUUUGAAAACGCGUAAAGAAACUAUAAGCAAAAGACGGAUAACUGUUUAUAAACUAUAUAAAUGUGUGUAUAAAAAAAAGUUAAUAUUAGGGCAUCUUAAUUUUUGGAUACAACAAAAAAAAAAGAUUUUAUUACCAAAAAGAUAGCUGAAAAAACCUGAAACUACACAAAUAGGUGAUCUUGGAAGUGAGAAAAAUAAGAUUCGAAAUCGCUUCUCUUUAACAAAAAGAUUAUUCAUUAAUCAUUGAGCAAAUGUUUCAAAUUAAGGAACCAUCCAAUUAAAUAUGCCAUUUUAUAAUAAUUAGAGUUGUCUCUAGUAAUGAUAUUUACCUUAACAACAUUCAUUACAUCUAAUAACCGCACUAUGAAAAGUUAACUUGCAGUUGCAUGCAAUUCCGCAUCAUUUGCAGUUUAAUAAAACCCUAAAUCUCAAAACACCCUAAAACAAGCAAAAAAAAGUCAAAAAGUUUUCUUUUUUUCCCUGAGAAUCAGUAUCAAUGGCUAAAAAGUCUAAAACCCAAGGUGAUGAAUGAAACAGAGUGACUGAACCAAUCCCAAAAGAGAGAGAUGAAAGCCAAAAGAAAAAAGUGGGGCUUUAACUUUUUGGUAAUGAAGUAAAUAGAUUUCCAUAUAAACUCCAUCCCUGCUGUUUUUUUAUUUGUUCAUCUUACACGUGCUUCUAACCUACCCUGAAAAAAUAUAUAUAUAAAUAAAUAAAAAAUCUCAUUUUAUUAUCAGCAAAAUCCAGCAGUUUUUGGUGGCCCUAUAUUCUGCAAAACUCAACUACCAAUGAUCAUCAAUCACCGCCGUUCAUUCACAAACACACCUUCCCAUCACUACCCUUUUCUUGUUUCUCUUAUUUACUUAGCUUGCCAUCCCUUGCCUGCAACAGCAGGGGCCACUUCUUAACUUUUGAGUCAUGCAAAUUGCAACAUAAAGUCAUCAACCCAAAACCCAAGAUUCUCAGACAUAUUUUAUUUAUAGAACUCCUCGCCCCCACUGUCCUUGUCUAUCUUUUCACCUUUUUUUUCUUCCCUUUUCUCUUCCUUUGUUUCAGUCACUCACUCAGUUCUUCACUUCAUUCAGUGUUAAUGGUUGUCUCUCUGGAAUCUGAUUUUGUUUAAUACCCAGAUUCAGUUUUCAGGUAAAUGUUAAGUAAAGACUUCUUUUUCGCCUUUCAUUUCUGGUUUUUUAGAUUAUAAUCAUAUGGUUUUCUUUCAUUGAUCUUCAUCUUUUUCAGCUAUGUUAUAAUUUUAUUUCUUUUGUUUUCUCUGCUGAUCAUUGCAUGAAAUGAGUGGUCAUAUUCUGUCAAAUUAUAUCCUGUUUUUUUAUGGUAAAGUCUGACUUUCUUUUGCAUUUUUUUACCCUCCCCUUUCCUUGUCCGUGAUAAUUGUAUAGGAUUUUUUCUUUAUUCAGAAAUAUAUGAUUAAUCCUGCAAUUUUUCAGGUAAAGUAGGAUAUUUACUGGAUACUGUUAAUAGUUUUACUGAAUUUUUAUGUCAUUCUUAAACCUGGACACAGAUGUUUGUUAGAUUACAUAUUCAAUUAAUGUACUUUUACCCUUCUUUUCCAUAUAACCAUGAAUUUGAUUUCCAGAACUUGAAAAUUGCUGCUUUUUUUUCAAGCUUUGCAGAUAUAUAUGAUUCUGAUAUAUUCAUUUUACUGCAGAACAUAUAACACAAUGAGGAAAAGGCAUUUAUAUCAUUCCGAGCAUCCGUUUGAUGAAUAUCGUAAGCAUUAUUACCUCCUAACAAUCUGCACUUUCGGUGUAUUUAUUUUGUCUGUUCGAAUGGGCUUGUGUAGUUUCCUAGUAGUUUAUCAUGUAACUUGGAUAACAGUAGUGUUAUGUCUCUCCAUUUCUUUGGUUUUGUAUUACCCUACUGAUUUCUCGUGUAUCAGCUUUCGAGGUCUUCGUCCAAGACUCAUGGCAAGCUGUGGAACUCAUAAGAAUAAAGAAUGGAUUCAUGACUUUGCAUCUGAUAGAUGGUCAAUAUCUGAUUGAGAAGAAACCCUUCUCUGAUUUACGUGUUAAGUCUCGGAAGGCAACUUUGCCCGAUUGCACUUGCUUUUUGAGGCCUGGUAUUGAUAUAUGCAUCCUUUCUCGCCCUCAGGAGACAGAAAGUCUCGAUGAAGAGACUCCGGAGCCUGUAAGUUAUGCUUUCUUAGACUGAGCAAUCCAAGCAUCCUAAUUUGAAAAUUUAUUAAUUCAUUUAAAUAUUGCAGCUUUUGCUGAUAUCUGUCAUUUGGAAUUCCUACAUGACUCGAAUUCUGUUGUGAGUUUUGGGCAUUGUUAUGUCUGACACAGGUAUAUAUUUGGGGAAUCCUUGGAGGAUCAUAUCCCCGUACCUAUGUCCAGAGUACUUAAAGAAAAAUGAAGAGUCGGACCAACAUAACUCUAUUCUCUAUUUCUCAUCCCUUGCCAAGCUCACUGGUAUAAUGUCGGACAACGAAGUAAAUUAAUUGCCCUUCACAAAUUAACUAUAAGAGGCUCACUGUGGGCAAAAUUGAAUGCUGAUAGGUCGUGUGGUUAUCCAAAUAUUUUAAUUCUAAUUUCUUGCUAAAAGAACUAUCAUUUAAUGCUUUACUUAGCUUUUUUUGACAUAGAUGAUUCCUAUUGAAAGUUGUGAUUUCGGCAUUCAAUUUUGAUCUAACGGUUCUGUUUAUGUUUAGGUGUGGGUUGAUGCUAAAAUAAGUUCCAUUGAGAGGAAGCCUCAUGACUCUGAAUGCUCGUGCCAGUUUUACAUAAACUUGUAUGAUAACCGUGCUCCUCUCGGUUCUGAGAAAGGAACUCUUAGCAAAGAGACUGAAGUAAUAGGAAUCAAUGAUAUUUGUAUCCUCCAAAAGCUUGAAAAGAAUGCAUGUGAGGAUCAGCACUAUAGGUGGAAUUUCUCGGAGGACUGCUCGACAUUGAAACGAACUAAGAUAUUUUUGGGGAAAUUCUCAUCUGAUAUAUCAUUGCUGCUUGUUACAUCUGUUUUGAAGCAGAUUGCAUUCGAUGUGAGAUCGGUGCAGAACAAGAUUGUCUAUCAAAUUCUGGAUCAAGAUGAUGACACUCCCUUAAAAUAUAAUAAUUAUUUCCAUGCUGUAAAUAUCAAAUCUGAGAAUGGUAUUUCGGUAUCCAAUGUGGUCCAAUUUGACCCCCUUGGAAAUAAUGAAACUGAUGCAGUUUAUAGUGUUGAUGAAACCAAUCAAUGGCCAGUUUAUGAUGCUAUGAACUUGCGACGCUCUAAACGCAGGUUUGUACAACCUGAGCGUUUUGUUGGUUGUGAUCAUCCUGGAGGGACAGAUACUAGCUGGCAUCUUACAGCUGCUUGUAGAACUAGCAACUGGAGAGAAGAGGGAGAGGAACAAGAAGCCGAUAUGAACAUGCCGCUAUCACACUUGUUAUGCAUCAAUGCAAGUCCAACGGAAGAGCUUACCCUGUCUGAAAAAAGAGAUACCAUGUCCAAAAGUAAGAAUGUAUCAAAGGAGGUAAAAUCAGAUGUGACAACUCCGAGGAAACCAAGUGUGGGAAAUCCGAGCAGAUCAGGUGUGAAAUAUCCCAGGAGACCAAGUGUGAAAAAUCCAAGGAAAGAUGAAAAUACUCUUGCUAUUGUUCCUGUGUCUUCGGAAACAGGUGAUCCAGCCUUUGGAAACUGUCAUAUGCAGAGAACUCCAACGAAUUUAUCAGAAGAGAUUGAACAACUCUCUUUGCAUUAUUAUAAUAUGAAACGCUACACUGCAAACAAGAAGAAGAAAAUUCCUGCUUUAGAGUAUAUAGAUUAUGGAACUGGGUGGAAGGGAAGACCUCAACCAACGAAAGCACAGAGUAAAAGUUAUAGGUCUUCUCAAACACGAAUGGAAGAUUUUGAUGAACUGAAAACUUACAAAAAGACAACUCUGAGUGCAGGUGCAUACAAUAAACUUAUAAAUUCAUAUAUGAAGAACAUCUAUUCUACAUCGGUAAAAGAUGAGUCACACAUCAUUGACCGGUGGAAUCAGUUUAAGGAAGCAACGUCCACAGAAAUGAAUAGGAAAACAGAACCAGAAGAACCACCAGUUGAGGAGGAGGAAGAAAUGUCUGAAACUGAAAUGCUGUGGAGAGAAAUGGAAAUAUGUAUGGCAUCAUCAUACUUUGAUGACGAUGAGGUAAGAGUAACUGAAAUUUAUAUAAACACCCUGUCGCCCCACCCCAACCUGAAGUAUGUAGGUUUAAUUGUUGUUGAUGCAUUUAUACCUUUAUACCAAAUGAGGAAAUUUUGUUUCCCAGUUAAGUUUCUCUUCUCCAUGGUUAAUUUAUUUAAAUGAUUUUCAGGCUAGAGUAUCCGCUGAGUCUCUCCGGAAAGCUAAUGAAAAUUGUCAGCAUGAAUUCAAAUUGGAUGAUGAAGUCGGGGUUCUAUGUCGUAUCUGUGGCUUUGUUAGCACUGAAAUAAAACAUGUUUCUGCACCAUUCGUAAGUCCGAAACUCAAGACUGCAAGCUUUUCCAGUUACUGCUUUUUUCUUUUUUAAUGUUGUUUGUCUACUAUAAGCACCGACAACACCAUCUUUGUUGCCAUCUUUUAUAAGCUUACUUGGGGAACUAGUUUCCUGCUCGCUUAACAUUAGACGUUGUCUCCUUUUUGCUCAGUUUAUCGGACUGUGGCGGUUUAUUAAUUUAUAUUGCUCUACUAGAUGUGUGAUUAAAUUGUUCUCCAUUUUUCUAGCUGGAACAUAAAACCUGGGUAGCAGAUGGUAAUUUGUGCUACAGAGAUGAGACAGAGAAUAAAGCAGACGGAGAAGAGGGCCUGAAUCUUUUCUGUGAUUACACUACUAUACAGGCACGAUUAUCUGAAGAAAGUGACAAUGUAUGGGCACUAAUCCCUGAACUUAGGAAGAAGUUACAUUUCCACCAGAAACGGGCCUUUGAAUUCCUAUGGCUAAAUAUCGCGGGUUCUUUGAUACCUGCACUAAUGGAACCAUCAUCAAAAAAAACAGGUGGUUGUGUAGUUUCUCAUUCACCGGGAUCUGGGAAAACUUUUCUCAUUAUUGCAUUUCUUGCUAGCUACUUGAAGUUAUUCCCAGGAAAGCGGCCUUUGGUCCUUGCUCCAAAGACAACUCUAUAUACUUGGUACAAGGAAUUUAUCAAGUGGGAAAUCCCUGUGCCCGUUCAUUUAAUUCAUGGCCGUAGAAGUUAUAGAGUCUUCAAGAAGAAUGCAGUGAAGUUUCAUGGAGUUCCGAGACCUAGUCAAGAUGUUAUGCACGUUUUGGAUUGUCUAGAUAAAAUACAAAAGUGGCAUGCUCAACCAAGUGUUCUUGUCAUGGGCUACACUUCGUUCUUGACGUUAAUGCGAGAAGAUUCGAAGUUUGAGCACAGAAAAUUUAUGGCUAAGGUUCUGCGUGAAAGUCCGGGGCUCCUGGUAUUGGACGAAGGGCACAACCCUCGAAGUACUAAAUCGAGAUUGAGAAAGGUUUUGAUGAAAGUUGAGACAGAUCUGAGGAUAUUGCUUUCAGGUACAUUGUUUCAGAACAACUUCUGUGAAUAUUUUAACACCCUGUGCCUUGCAAGACCGAAAUUCGUGUUUGAAGUUUUGCGGCGAUUAGACCCUAAAUACAAGAGAAAGAAGAGGUUCGACAAAGCUCGCAAUUUGUUAGAAAACCGAGCAAGAAAACUCUUCCUAGACAAAAUUGCCAGGAAGAUCGAUGCUAGCGUCGGAGAAGAGCGGAUGGAAGGUCUUAACAUGUUGAGGAAAAUCACCAACGGGUUUAUUGACGUGUACGAAGGUGGGAAUUUUGACUGCCUCCCUGGUUUACAAAUUUACACCUUAAUGAUGAACUCAACAGACAUACAACAUGAGAUUUUGGUAAAACUCCACAAAAUAAUGUCUACAUAUACUGGCUAUCCAUUGGAAUUGGAGCUUUUGAUAACGCUAGCAUCGAUACAUCCUAGUUUGGUCCGGACUUCAAACUGUAGUGCUAAAUUUUUCAGUACAGAAGAGUUGCUGGAACUUGAGAAGAUCAAAUUCGAUUUUAGAAAAGGUUCCAAGGUGAUGUUUGUUUUGAACCUUGUUUAUCGAAUCAUCAAGAAUGAAAAGGUUCUCAUCUUCUGCCACAAUAUUGCCCCCAUUUAUUUGCUUGCGGAAAUGUUUGAGAGAAUCUUCCGAUGGCGAAAGGGUAGAGAAAUAUUGGUCCUUACAGGAGACUUGGAGCUAUUCGAGAGAGGAAGAGUGAUGGACAAGUUUGAGGAACCAGGUGGUGCUUCAAGGGUACUUCUCGCUUCAAUUACUGCAUGUGCUGAAGGCAUUAGUUUGACAGCUGCAUCCCGGGUGAUUUUGUUGGAUUCGGAAUGGAACCCUUCCAAGACAAAGCAGGCUAUUGCACGGGCUUUCCGGCCUGGUCAGCAAAAGGUUGUUUAUGUGUAUCAGCUGUUGGCAACUGGCACGCUCGAAGAGGACAAGUAUCGUAGGACCACAUGGAAAGAAUGGGUAUCCAGUAUGAUUUUUAGCGAAGCAUUCGUGGAAGAUCCGUCUCAGUGGCAAGCAGAAAAGAUCGAAGAUGAUGUAUUGAGAGAGAUAGUUGCAGAGGACAAAGUUAAGUCAUUUCAUAUGAUAAUGAAAAACGAAAAGGCUUCUACAGGUUGAUGAUCAGAGACUAGCUUCCCACCACAGUAAUAACUGUAAGAAACAUGUCAUCUUCUGUUACAAAUUAAUUACUCCCUGCAUGCAUGCAUGCAUAUGUAUAUAUCUAUUUUUUAUGCAUGAAUAUGUACACUGGAUUCAUGGAAAGACUGUACAGUGAAUCAAAACUGCAACCUUUUCUACAGCUUAAUUAAUUGGUUUUUUUUUUUUUUUUCGUUUUCGUAGUUAGCAAGUCUAGGGAGGAGGGACUCAGACCUCGAGACUUGAUGUUUAAGGAGAGAGAGCAACAGGUAGGCCAAACUUGGAUUGUUUUCUCUUCAGCUUGCUUGUAUUAUGUUUUAUAAUUGUGCUUUCUACAGGUAACAACCUUUUAACUUGUAAAAUGGCACAACUUUCCUGCUGUCUCAUAGUUCCCUUCUUUCAAAGAUAACUUUUUUGCUUUGAUUUUUUUUUUUCCUUAAAGCAUCCAUGUAUCCUAUAGAUGAACAUGGACGUGGAGAUAUGAUCCUUUAAAUGCAUGAAAAUCGUAUCGGAAGCAAUGCCAUCUAAAAAUAAUGUUUGUAAAGUGAGAGUAGUACUAGGAAUGCCACUAUAAAAAGGUUUUCUUAUACUCUACUUAAUCAUAUAGAAAGAGAUUAAGAAAUGUUAAAUGUCAAAAACAAUGGGUAGGCAUGGGGGAUUGGAGCUUGAAACCAGGGAUAUUGUAACCCUUUUUCAAUAAAAUUAACUACAAAACCAUGUCCUCAAUAAUUAAGUGAUGGUAUCUUUAGUAGGUAUGGGUUUUGAAUCCCGGUUUGGGGCUUGAAACUAGGCAUGCUACGAUUCCUUUUCUCAAAAUUUACAAGCAAUACUAUCAAAAAUUACAAGCAAUACAUUGUUAAGAGAGGUGAUUAUAAAUCUGGAAAAGAUUAGUCUUUAUAAUUAUAAAAUGAAUCUGAAAUUUUUUUUUAAUUGUGUUUGUUUCAUUUUCAAUUAACUUUCUGGAAAAUCUGAUAUUUUCUAAUGUUUGGAUAGGCCUAUUUAAAAUAUUUUUUGUUUAACAAAUUUGCAUGAAAUUAUUUUCUAAAGUUAUUCUUAGUGAAAAAACCACAAGAUAACUAUAUUUGUUACAAUAUAUUAUAGUAGCAUUUCUUUUUUACUAUCAAAACUUAUUUUACAAUAAUUAAUAUCUUAUAUAAACUUAAUAAUAAAUAGUGCCUAAUUAAAAAUUGUACGAGGGUGAGAGUUGGAAGGGAUAAAUAAAGUUGAACAUAAUUUAAACAAAUACUCAUAUUUAUGUAAUUAAAAAUAUUCAUGUUUUAUACUAUUAAAUAUUUAUAAAUUGUAUUGUAUAUUUUUUAUUAAAAUAUUGAUAUAAAUAUUUUUUAAAUAAUAUAUUAAGAAUAUCAUUUAAAUUUUAAAUUUAUAAUUGUUAAGAUUUAUUAUUAAAAUAAAAUUUUAAUAUUAAAUAAAUUUAUUGGAUUAAUAAUUAAUAUUAAUUAUAUUAAUAAUUUAUUAUAUUAUUAAGUAUAAAUAAUAAAAUAUGCAUAUUGAAUAAUAUUUCAUUUUAAUAUUUUAAUAUUUUUAAAUAUUUUAAAAAUUAAAUAUGAUAAUUUAUUAUUAAUAUAAUAAUAUUAGGCUUUAUUCAAAUUAAUUUUUAUAUAAAAAUAAAAUUACUCAUAAAGGAGUUUUUUUAUAUAUAGAAAAUGACCCUCUUUUUUUUUCAAAAGAGUAAGUCACUUUUUAAGGAAAAAGUUUAUUUUUCAUUAAUUUAUAAGUCAUUUUCCAUUGACCAAGUUUUUUUUUUAUGAAACAAACACACAAAAUAUAUAUAUAAAAGAAUAUUUUCCGUAAAUCAAACACACUAAUUUUACAUAAUAAAAAAAAAAAGUUACUUGUAUACCAUGACGUCUACAAUAAACAAAUGCAAAUUACUAAUUCGAAGUUUAUUUUUUAGGAUAUUUGGUUCACAAAAUGAAAGAUUAUGUAUAUUAUUUUAUUUGGUUUAUUUGAUUAAAAUAUAAAUUUUUAUUAUUUGAUUGACAGAAUUUAAAAUUAUUUAAAAAUAAUUUUUACUAAAAUGUCUUUAUUAUAGUUUUUUUUAUAACCUGCAACUUUCAUUUGACUUUAAAAUUUCUAUUCUCAUUUUUGUUAUAAAAAUAUAAAUCUUACAUUUAAUAUAUUAUAUCAUUUAUAUAAGUAAAAAAACUUUAUCCCAUUAUUUGAAUUUUAAAAUUUAUUAGUACAUAUUAUUUUCUUUUUAAUAAAAGUAAUUUAGAUAAUUUUAAAUUUGAUUAAUAUACUAUUUUUAUUAAAAAUGAUACUGAUUUUAUUAACGGAUUAAGUUAAAAUAUUAUACUAUAAUAAUUUUAAAAAAUGUUAUUAUUUGGUAUACUGGUAGUGUGCUUUUUUCAUUCCACAAGCAACUUUAAAAAGUUGUUACGUAUCUUUUAUUUCUUUAAAUAUUUUUUUAAUAUCUUACGUGUCUUUUUUUUAAAAUAUUUAUUUUUAAUAUCUUACUAUACCCUUAAAAAAUAUUUAUUAUGCAGUCGGUGAAAUUUAAAAAUUUCACAAGCAAGGUUGGGUUGAUGACAAGUAUAUAUAGGAUAUAGGCUUAGUUUUGAUGGGCGGUGUGUUUACCUCCAGUGAGAUUAAAAACAGCAGUGGCGGUGAGAUUAGUUACUGUAGCGGUGAGAUUGGAUACUGUGGCGGUGAGAUUAGAAACAAUAGUGGAGUGUGUGUUUGGAUUCAAACGCAGAUGUAGCAGUGAGGUGAAAAUAAAAAAUGACUAUUAAGGACUUUAUAUUAGAAUUGAUAUAUAAUAGAAGUUUUUAAAUUAUUUUACUUAUAUAAAAUUAUUAAAAUAUGUGAAUUUAUAAAUUCAUUUAAUAAAAUAUUAAAAUUUAUCUUUCAAUAUUUUAUUAUAAAUAUUUUAAUGAAUUAUAUAAUCAAUUUAAAUUAUUUAUUAGAUAAAAUGAUAAUUAUUUUUAAUUUUUUAUAGUUAAAUAUUAUUUUAUAACAAUGAUAAAUAUUAUUUUCACAAAUAGUAACAUUAUUCUUGGAUCAAAUUUAGCUGCCAAAUCUGAAAAAAAAAAUAAGAUUAAUAAAGAAACUUUCAAUGAUAAAAUGGUAAAUUAAUAAAUAAAAGUAAUACAUCUGCUGCACUAGUGAACUUACUGCUGUUUUCAACUCCAGUUGAUUUUUGGAAUAUCAGUGUAGUGAAAAUUAAUUUUGGUUGCACUGAAAUGCUCAACCAAACAGGUUGUCAGUGAGGUUGGUAGCCCAACUGUACCUUACUGACGUUGAACGGUGAACCAAAAGCAGCCAUAGUAAAACAAAAUAAAAAAUAAUAUAUAAAAAAAGGGACACGUGGCAAAUUUAUAACUUUGCUUGUGGAGUUAAAAAAAACAACAUUGUCAGUGUAUUAUAGAGUUUUUAAACUCCAUAAAUAAAGUUAGGGGGUUAACAACUGUUUCAUAAAAGUUUACUAAAAUUUUUAAAAAUAAAUAUUUAAAAAAGAAACACAUACUAAUUUUUUAAUGUUGCUUGUAGAAUAAAAAAAAAGUACAUUGUCAUAAUUCUUAAUACUAACUUAAUAGGGUAAUUAUUUGAUACAUUGCCAAUGAAAUUUUAUAGACUCCACAAAUAGAUUGAGAGUGUGACAAGUGUUGCAUUUAUUUAUAUAAUUAUUUCUUUACUUUUUACUACACCUUUCAACUCACUUGCAACUAGGAAAGUAUCAAAUAACAUUUUUUAUUAAUACAUAAAAACUAUCAUAAAAUGAAAGGAUAAAAUUGAUCAAAAUAAUAAUAAUAAUAAUAAUAAUAAGGUAAAGGUUAUCCUAAAAUUUUACAAUGAAAAUUGAUAGUGAAAUUAAUAUUAAUUGUAAAAAAAAUGUAAGAUUAUCUGUAGGCUAAUUUUGGCCCGUUUACAAAUUACCCUGGCCCAUUAAACCAUUUAACCCAUCCUCAAACCCAAACUAAAUCAAAAACUAUCCAAACCUACCCAAUAGACCCAUUUUACACCCUCAGCCCAAUACUAACCAAAUACCACUAGCCCAAAACCUAAAAUUAACCUAGCCCAACAACUAAGCCCAAUCCCGAAACCCUAGCUUCCCACUUGCCUCUCCCCACUUGCCUCUGCCACCACCUGCCCAUCGAUCAACACCAUCUCCUGGCGCCACCUGCCCCACAGUCACCUCCACCGUUCAACCACCACCUGCACAGCAAACAGGAAACGCAACAGCAGCAAAAGAUAGAAGUAGAUAGUGUAACCAAAAGGGGGCUAUAAAAAGCCGAAUAGAAACCAUUGUAAAUGGUUGGUUUUUUUUGAAUAUUCAAGGAAAAUAAAUCAAUACAAAAGUUAGAUUUCAGUACAUACACAAGCAGUGAUUCAAAAUACAAGGGCAAAAUCAAUCGAGCAACCAAAAUACCGAUAUCAAAAAUUUAAGAUGAUUUAGUCUUUUAUUUUCAUUUAUUUUCAAAUCUAUACUCCUAUACAUUUCACAUAUAUAUAAACUAAAAACAUAUAAAAAAAAUAUAAUACAAAAAAAUUUAAAAAAAAGGGAAAUUUACCUUUUUCGACCACCGUGCACGGUGGCCGGUGCCAGCGCCGGUGACGGUCCGACGACCGGAUGGUGACCGGCCCUGUGGCCGGAAAUCGCCCUCUCCCCUCUCUCCUCUCCUCUCCUUUUUUUUUCCUCUGCUGCUGCAAAUGAUUUUUUUUAUUGAAGAAUUUAGCCUUUAUAUAGCCUCCCAAAACGACGUCAUUUUGGGGGCUGCCCUUUAACCCCAAAACGACAUCGUUUUGCCAUAGCCCUACCCGAUCCGACCGCUCCGGCUUAGAAUCCGCGUGUUUUUUAACGGAAGGGCUAAUUGCGCUUUUAGCCCUUCCGCUUUUCUGAUACUUCGCAAUUAAGUUCUUAUGGAUUUUCAAUUUGGCCCCAUAAUUUUUUGCGGUUUUCAAUUUAGCCCCCACUGAUACGCUGCGUUUUGAUGGGAAUGAGUAAUUGCUGUUUGGGUCAUCUUAGGUUACGCGCGUGUUGCAUUUUGAUCUUUUUUCUUUAUUUCUUUUUAAAAAUCUCCCCAAAACUUCGUUUUUGUUUCAAAUUUAGUCUUUUUUUCAGAUUUAAGUUUAUUUUCAUAUUAUCUUUGUUAUUUUAUUUAUUUUAAAUAUUAUUUAUAUUAUUCUCAUGAUUAUCACUCUUAUUAUUACUGUUAUUUUUAUUCCUUUUAUAUUAUCAAUAUAUUAUUCCUAUAGCUACUAUUAUUAUUUCUAAUAUAUAUUACGUACAUAUUUUUAAUUUUAUAAUAUAUUUAUAUAAUAUUAUUGAUAAGUUUUUUAAACAUUAUUAGUAUUUAUAUUAUGUAUAUAUUAUGCAAAUAUUCUAAUACUAUAUUAUAUAUAUAUUCUCAUAUUACUAUGUAUAUAUGUUUUUAAUAUCAUAUUUUUAUAUAUUGUUAUGUAUAUACUUUAAUAUUGUUAGUUAUAUAUCUUUUAUACUAUUGUACAUAUAUUUCUGAUACUAUAUUGUAUAUUCCUAACACCAUUAUUAUUUAUAUAUAUACACGUAUAUAUAUACACGUACUUAUGUAGUAUGUGAAUAGUUUUUUAUAUACUAUUAUCAUUUCUAAUAUAGGUAUAUAUUGUAUAUAUUUUAUAUAUAUUAUGUACAUAUUUUUAAUGUUUUCAUGUAUAUAUUUCUUAUACUAUUCCAUGUACGUAUUUUGAUCAUCUUAUGUACAUAUUUAUUAUUAACAUAUAUUUUCUUUCUUAUGUUUUUAUUAUUUCUAAUGUAUUGUAUAUGUUCAUUUUAUAUAUAUUAUAUACAUCUAUUAUGUAUAUGCUAUAAUAUUAUUAUUAUGUAUACACUUUCCAUUUCUAUUAUUACAUAUAUUUUAACAUAUAUAUAUCUAGCAUUAUUAGUGUUUUUUAAUAUUAAGUUUACGUCACCUUACUUAUUAUUCUUAUAUGUUUAUAUAUAUGUUCGUUCUUAUUUCGCGUUUAAUAAUAUUGUCAUUAUGUUUAAUAUCGCAUACGUUGUUAUCGUUUUAAUAUUAUUAUCGUAUUUAUUAUUUGUUUCGACGUAUUUCUAACUCUGUCAUGUUUUGUUACCUCCCGUUUUUGUAUCAUCUCGUUGUUCACCGCUUUAAAGAUUUUUAUUCAUGUUUUUUUUAAUAUCAAUAAAUAAAGCAAUGUACCGAUUUAACAUUAAGCCAUCGAUUUCAUCGCUAUGUUGGGUGAAAUUCGUCGGCUCGUGUUAAAGACGAAACACCCUUCUAAAAAAUCGAAAACUAAAAAUUCUCAUUUUUUAAUUAGAUCACGAUUAAAUGUUAAAUUGAAUUCGUACUUUUGAAAAUCAAGACAACACGAGUUUAAUAAAGAUACCAAUUUUGGGCGUCGCGAGGGUGCUAAUACCUUCCUCGUACGUAACUGACCCGGACCCUAUUUUUCUCUGGAUUUUCGCGUAGACCCAAAUUUGGCCUUCAUUUUUGUUCAAGAAUAAAUUUUCUUUUCAAAAAAGAUGAUUUAUUAGGUGUCCGAUCUCACCUAGAAAAAAGAUCGGUGGCGACUCCCUUUUUUAAUAAAACCAAAAGUCGGUUUUCAAAUUUCCAAUAAGUCACCUCAAUUAGCGAUAGAAAGCAAAAAUUUUUACGUUGCGACAGCUGGCGACUCCGCUGGGGACCCUCUUUUGAGAGUCGAGUCUAGAAUUAAACGCGUGUUGUCAAAAUUUUCAAAAUUCCUUGUUCAAAUUAAUAUUUAGUCGUGAUCCCAAAAUUGUGUUUUUGAAAAGUUAUGCAUUUGCAUCGUGUUGUAUAUAUUCUUCUAACUUGUUCUAUCUGGUUGUUUUUCAGCUUUAAAUUUUUAUAGUUUUAGUUUUGGUUUAGUUUUUAAAUAAAACGUAAAGGUUUGUGAGUUUCUCAGCACACACCGUGCACUUGCAUUUUUGCAUAACAUGAGCUCUCUACCCGGGCUUCGUCCGUUUAAGUGAAAGUAAACGCUAUGCCUUCGUGAGUUAACUCGUCCCUCCGCACAGGCUAGUGAAUACUUUCGGGUUACAUAUGACUUAUGCUUUCGUGAGUUAACUUGUCCCUCCGUAUAGGCAUAAGUAAAUGUAAUCCCUCGAAUUGAACUCGUAAGCCUGUGAUGGGCAAUGACCAAGGUUCCGUACUAGUCUUAGUAGACGAUAGUACGAACAAUUCGAGUUCUUGUCUAGAACCGAACCCACAUAUAGUAAACCAUACGAGCUACCUAACUAGAGCCAUGUUGAACCUCCUUCCGUUAGUAGUCACCAAAAUAAGUAUACGGGAGAAACGACUCUUACCUUUCAUUUAUACUUUGCAAAGGAAUCGGGUCUAUUGGACUGAGUAACUUAAUUUGUUAGAUUUUCCAUAGUUUUUCUGCAAUCCAUAUUUGUUGUGAUUACUAACCAAGGUUGUUUGUCUUUAUCUUUAUUUUUCAUCAUGCAUUAAAGGCAUCAUAUUAGGAGGGUGUUGAUUAAAGAUCGGUUGCCAAAAAUGGGUUUCUAAUGGAAGAGUCGAUUAUACAAACAACCGAGAAAAUGCUGUGGUCCGAGAUUGGUCUCUAAGAACCCAGAAAGAAAAAUGGGACAGUCUAAUGGGAGGAUGUAUUCCCAACCUACCCGAGCACGUAACUGUAAACGUUCGUCAGAAUAACCUUGAUUACUUGACUUGGAUCUGUAGACAGUGGGAUUCGGACACUAGAGGCAUCUUCACUGAAAGGUACGGAGAUAUAGCCAGCCUGAUCGCCAUCAACAUAGAUGAAAGAUUGAUUCAGGCCAUGAUCAGAUUUUGGGAUCCGGCUUACCAGUAUUUCAUUUUCAAUCAAGAAGAUAUAACCCCAACCGUGGAAGAGUACGCUAUUUUAUUUCGUAUUGAUAAUGUGCAAUUCUACAAGAUUUAUUUGAAGGAGUCCAAGCCGAUGACUUUCAAGAAAAAGUUGGUAAAGUUGACUGGUUUGACUGACACAUGGGCCAAGAAACAAAUAAAGAAAAAGAAUGAAAUCAGUUGUAUUCCGUGGUUUUCCCUACGGGAUUUAGUCCUAAAUCAUCCCGAUAUUUUGAAGAAAGUGAAUCUGUUCGCUUUGGCCAUUUACGGAUUGGUCGUCUUCCCAAAAGUUUUGGGACAUAUAGAGGUUGCAGUAGUGGACUUCUUUGAAAAGUUAAAAUAAGGAAUCAACCCUAUCCCAACUAUUUUGGCCGAGACCUUCAGAUCCCUAAGCAGUUGUAGGAGGAAAGGGGAAGGACGCUUUAUCGGAUGUGCACAAUUACUUAAUGUUUGGAUUUUGAGCCAUUUUUGAAAAGUAAAGCGCAUACCGUACCACAUGUUUUCAAAAACCUUCGCCCCGUUGGAAGCCUAUCUUGAGAGAGAAUGGCCAAAGGAUGUCACCGAAGAGCAUUGGGUUUCAGUUUUUCAGAACCUUCGAGCUGAAGAUGUAACUUGGAGAGCACCGUGGAUCCGCCCUUCGGUUCUGUUAUACAAGGUUGGAAACCAAGAUUGGGUGCUACUGCUCAGAUUAUGGGGAGGAGUAGGUUAUGCUUCGUUAUUGGCCCAGAGGCAGUUUUCUUCGCGAUAAUUCAUACCCGCCACUGGAGGAUUAGCACAGUCCGAAUUUGCUUUCAGAGGCGAUGGUUAUAUGAAAAGGGUCUGAGAUACGACGAAGUCUUGGAAGAAAAUUCAUCUAAUGGAAUUGGCUCUAUACGCUGAUACUUUCACUCAGGAUUAUGACGUAUGGAGAAAACAACGAGUAAAUAGUCAACAAGUCUCGUCAACGAAUUAUACCUUCCAGAAUCCUUUCUCGGAAGAAAUGCCAUCUGAGCUAGAAGUGGCAAGACUAGAAUUUGAACGAGAAAAAGCCAAGAUGUCACGGGACCUUAGUGCUCUUCAAUAGGAAAAUUACCAGCUGAAGAUUGAUGUUCAAAUUGAAGGAUCCAGAGCCGAGAAAGUUCAAAAAGAAGCUGAGAUCGUAAGAAAUGACUUAAGAGAUCUUUAUCUGGAAAAUAAGAAAUUAAGAGGCACUAUAAAGAAUAGUGGGCUGGGCAAGUCAUUAGCGGGAUGGAAAGAAGAAUUAAGCAACCUCAAAGGCAGGAUGGAAUUUUGGAAAGGGAAAGCAAAGAAAGAAGAGGGAAAAGCUGCGUGGGCUAUGUUAGAGCUAAGAAAAAAGAAUGUAGAAUACGAAACUGGGUCUACCGAAUUAAUAACUAGUCGAUCUGAAUGUCGAGAGUUAAGAGAGAAAAUGCGAGAAUUAGAAGAGGCGCUGCAAGCUCGUCAACAACAGCUAGAUACUCUCCUAGAAGCCUUGCAAGAAAAGAAUAGUCAGUAUGACAGAGAUACUCGCGCUUACGGAAGAACCCUCUAUGAAAAGGACGAGAAAUUAAGCUAUUUGAUCAAUGAAAUUUGUAAAACAGCCAUGCAGUUGGUACAACUAUCAGAUGAAGCCGAAGUUUUCAGUUGCCAGUUCCCCCCGAGUCGAAGAUCAAACAUGUCAGAAUUCUUAGAACGGGUGAAGAAAUAUAGCGAUAUAGCCAGAAAGUUUGUAUGAUGACAACAAAAUGUUUUGUAAAAGACUCUUUCGAUAAAUGAAAUGCCUAUAUAGGGGCUAUCUUGAAGUCAACACCAAAUUCUUGCAUAUGCAUUCAUGACUAACAUUCCCUUGACAUUUAUUCAUUCAUUCAUUCAUUGCAUGUACAUAUCACCCUAAUCAUUCACUGAGGCUAAAACCGUAUAAUCCGCAGCUGCGACACUACAAGCCUGGAAUCACGUCACUCAUAUAGGACGCGUCGACAAGUUAGAGUGAUGGAGGUUGAAUUUAAUGAAAGGAUUAAGAGGAUGGAAAGAAUACAAAGGGAAUCACAGGAACAGCUGGCAAAGUCACAACAAGAAACCAGAGAUCUGAUGGUGAGAUCUCGAGAAAAAUCGCUUGAACAAAGGGACCAAAUGGCUAGGAUGAUGGAAAUGAUGUCGGCUCUGGUAAAAGGAAAGAGACCUAUGAACUCUGACGUUGUGGAACCACAGUCAAGGGUUAACCUCGAUCAGGAUUCGCCCCAUCCUCCAGGAUUUACUCCACCGCACGCCCACGCAACACAAAGAGGGUACACUCAAUGGGAACCUACAGGCCUGGAGCAACGACCUACGCCACCUGCUAAUCUGGGGUAAGGAAUGUUCAUAUCAAACCCAGGGGCUAGUCCUGCUGAUCCACCCAUUCCAGAUUUGGACGAUCCAGCAGAGAUAGCCAGGUUGAAAUUAGAUGAUCACGAUGCAAAGGAGAAAUAUAAGAGCCUAGAGGAAAGGCUCAAGGCGAUAGAAGGCACUGAAGUCUUCUCUGCACUGAGCGGUAAAGAGCUCAGUUUGGUACCGGAUUUAGUUUUUCCUCCAAAGUUUAAGGUACCGAAUUUUGAAAAGUACGAUAGGACAAGAUGCCCAAAAGCGCAUCUCAUCAUAUUUUUCCAGAAGAUGACCAGCUAUGUGAAUGAAGAUAAGCUGCUCAUACACUGUUUUUAGGAUAGCUUAGUUGGAUCAGCUCUUCGAUGGUAUAAUCAGCUUAAUAGAUAAAGGAUCCGAUCAUGGAAGGAUUUAGCGUCAGUUUUCUGUGAACAGUACAAACACGUAUCCAAUAUGGUGCCUGACCGAAUGACUCUGCAAAUGAUAGAGAAGAAACCAAUGGAGACCUUCAGGCAAUACACUCAAAGGUGGAGAGAUAUCUCGGCCCAAGUGGAGCCUCCACUGACUAAGACUGAGAUAACGGUCCUUUUCAUCAACACGUUGAAAGCGCCAUUAAGGAUUUUGCGGAUAUUGUGAUAUCCGGGGAACUUAUUGAGAAUGCCAUCAAGAGUGGAAGGAUAGAAGGUUCUGACAGUUCAAGAAGGACAACUCCCAUAAAGAAAAGAGAGCCAGAAACCUAUAUAGUGGGAGCUGGAAGCCGCUAUACUCUAAACCCAUACUCAAACCAACCACGACCACGAUAUCACUCAUCUCCAAACGUCUAUUUUCCUCCCCAAAACUCUUAUUACCAAGCACCACCUCAUUCUCACCCCGUAUACGCCACGAACAACCAAAGACCCGUCGCCACAUUCCCACAAAGCACUGUACCCGCUCAAAGGCAACCUAGAAACGAACUAAGACCAGUAAGGCUCAAUCCCGAGAGACCGUAAUUUACUCCUAUCCCUGUGUCGUAUUGGGAAUUGUACCCAAAAAUUUUGGAGAAACAAUUGAGAUCUCCCCAUUAUAUGGCACCCCUAAAACCCCCAUACCCGAAAUGGUACAAUCCUAACGCUAGUUGUGUAUAUCAUGCUGGAAACUAGGGGCAUUCUACGGAGAAUUGCCUUGCCUUUAAGAGGAGAGUUCAAGGACUCAUUGAUGUGGGCAUCCUGCGAUUCUAUAGUACUGGUAAUACAACUGAGAACCCGUUCCCUGACCAUGCUGAAGGGAAUGUGAACGCGGUAACGGAGGAGGGUAAGUGGCAAACAAAAAGCUGUGUUUCUGAAGUAAGGAUGCCUCUGCAUAAAAUCUGAGAGGUAUUGGUUGAGAAGGGAUUACUCUGUCGCACCGAAAAAAUUCUCGGAGAAGAAGGUCAAGGUUUUUGUAAUUUCCAUGAUCUUGAAGGGCAUAACAUUCAAUCCUGUGAAGAAUUUAGAAAAUUAUUACAAGACAUGAUGAAUAAUAAGAAGAUUAGGAUCUUUAAUAAGAGGGAAGAGGCCGAUGAAUGAGAAGUAUGUGCCUCUGACAAUUAAUCGUUAGGUCUCCCGUAUAGCGCCGAUUGACCAUUCGUAAUUUAUUACAAUGCAAGAAAGGAACCGGUGAAACCAAAGAUGAUCAUUGAAGUACCAUCUCAUUUCCCUUACAAGGACGAUAAGGCGGUACUAUGGAAAUACGACAUCAGCAUCGUCACACCUGAAGGUGAAAAAUUCGAAGCCACAACUGGAGAUGUUGGGGAGGUAAGCCAUUUUACUCGCAGUGGGCGAUGUUAUUCUAAAGAGAUUGAGCCGAUAAAGAAGAACAGUGACUGGAAGCAAAAAGGAAAGGUAGUGAUGUAUGAGGCCGAAGUCGAGCGAGAAACUCCACCCGUACAAGAAACUAAAAAGCCUGUGGAUGAAGAGGAAGCACAGGAGUUCUUGAAAUUUAUCAAGCACAGUGAAUACAAUGUAAUGGAACAAUUGAAUAAGCAACCAGCACGAAUCUCGAUUUUAUCUCUACUGUUGAAUUCAGAGCCACACCGGAACGCUUUGCUGAAGGUGUUAAAUCAAGCUUACGUAGCAAACAGCAUAUCUGUUGAGAAGCUUGAUAGGUGGGUGAAUAAUCUGAACACUGACAAUUUUAUUUCUUUUAGUGAUGAUGAGAUACCGCCAAACGAUAGAGGCUCAGUGAAAGCACUGCAUAUUAUGACUUGCUGUAAGGGUUACAUAAUACCGAACGUGUUCAUCGAUAAUAGGUCGGCACUCAACAUCAUGCCUUUGGCCACGCUUUCCAGAAUUCCGAUGGAUCUGUCCUAUUUAAGGCCCUGUCAUUCCACAGUCAGGGUAUUCGAUGGGACAAGGCGUGAAGUCAUGGGAAAGAUUGAGAUCCCUCUAGAAGUGGGUCCCUACAUUUAUAAUACCGAUUUCCAAGUCAUGGACAUUACACCAUCGUAUAACUACCUUUUGGGAAGGCCCUGGAUCCAUUCUUCUGGAGUAGUUACGUCCUCUCUCCAUCAAAAAGUGAAGUUUAUCAUAGAUGGCUGUUUGGUCACUGUCGAGGGAGAAGAAGACAUUGUCGCAUCUAUCUCUGCCGAUGUACCGUACCUGGAAGUGAGCAAAGAUGCAAUAGAAUGUUCCUUUCGAUCCUUUGAAUUUGUCAAUGCCACUUUUGUCGCUGAGGAAAAUAGAAUUCUGGUGCCAAAACUGUCAGGGAAUACCAGAUUGGGCGUUAAGAUGACUGUGGGAAAAGGAGCCUGAGCAAGGAAGGGUUUGGGAAGGUAUCUGCAAGGAAUAGUCAGGGCUCUAAAGCCAGUGCACCACAAGGCCCGAUACGAUUUGGGGUUCCAUCCAGACAUACGACAGAGAAGGAAACAGUUGCAGAAAGAUCGAGAAAGGUGGAUUGCAAGAGUCUUAGGCUGAGAAUUAGAACGGGAACCCAUAACGUACCCUCCUUUGUCAAAAAUAUUUACAUCUGCAGGAAUGAUAUACUCGAGUAAGAUAAUCCACGAAGCAUGCUGUUAUUAAUUGAAAGGGGUCUUCAGAAUAUCAGUAUAAAUGUCAUUGACAAAGAAAAUGACGCAAUUAAUGAUGUUUCAAUGAUACGUCAUUGUCCUCUUGGAUUUGUUUUGAACAAUUGGACUACUGUGGAUCUCCUUGUAGUUUCUAAGUCUUCUCCAGAGUAAUACUCAAUGUUAACACUCUUCUUUUUUUGUGCCCCUAAGUAAUAGUAGGGAUUCUUUUGUAAGAGCUUAUGAUUUGCUCUUUAUCAUUUAAAUGAACAUUAAUGGAGAUGCAUUUUGUCAUGGUCUUUUCAUUCUCAUUAAAUUCAUAAUUUUUUCCCUCUUCUCACAACAUGUCAUUGCAUAUAUCUCACAUCAUGCCAUGCAUGUUGGUCCCAAUACUUUGAUGCUCCUCUAUAGUUUUCUUUUCCAUUCAACUUUCAGGUGCUCAGAUAUCAACGGUAUGAAUAAACCCGUGACAAAUCUUGAAAUCGAUUUCGAAAAGCCUAUUUGCUUAGGAGAGUUUGAAGCUGAGGAAAAUGUUGAAGACUAUGUCUCGUCUCUUGACUUACUAAGAAUGGUAGAACAAGAAGAUAAACAGAUUCUACCUCAUCAAGAAUCUGUUGAGAUAGUAAACUUGGGAAAUGAAGAAAAGAGGCGAAAAGUAAAGAUUGGGACUUCUAUUUCAGAUAACACUAACACAUGAUUUGAUCGCUUUGCUUCAUGAAUACAAAGAUUUAUUUUCAUGGUCGUAUCAGGACAUGCCAGGAUUGGAUGAGGACGUAGUAGUCCAUAGACUCCCACUGAAACCAGAAUGCAAACCCAUUCAACAGAAGCUAAGACGAAUAAGACCUGAAAUGUUGUUAAAGAUAAAAGAAGAAGUUAAGAAACAAUUUGAUGCUGGCUUCCUACAAGUCUCCAAGUAUCCACAAUGGGUAGCUAACAUAGUCCCAGUACUGAAGAAAGACGGCAAGGUACGAAUGUGUGUGGAUUUUCGCGAUUUGAAUCGAGCAAGUCCUAAAGAUAAUUUUUCUUUGCCACACAUCGAUACAUUUGUGGAUAACACAGCCAAACAUUCAUUUUUUUCGUUCAUGGAUGGAUUCUUGGGUUAUAAUCAGAUAAAUAUGACUCUUGAAGAUAUGGAGCAAACUACUUUCGUAACGAUGUGGGGAACAUUCUGUUAUAAGGUGAUGUCGUUCGGAUUAAAGAACGCUGGGGCAACAUAUCAGAGGGUCAUGGUGAUGUUGUUUCAUAACAUGAUACACAAAGAAAUAAAAGUCUACGUCGAUGAUAUGAUCGCCAAGUCCAAGGGGGAAAGAGAGCAUGUUGGGAACCUCAAGAAGUUGUUCGAAAGACUGAGAAAGUUCCAGCUAAAGCUUAAUCCAGGCAAAGCUUAAUCCAGCCAAGUGUACGUUUGGGGCUACCUCGGGAAAAUUUCUAGGCUUCAUCGUCAACGAGAAAGACAUUGAAGUUAAUCUAGAUAAGAUAAAUGCCAUACAAGAACUACCACCUUCGUGCACACAAAAAGAAUGCCAAGUGUGACCCAAUUUUUCAACUCCUUCGAAAACAUAAUCCAGGAGAAUGGAACGAAGAAUGCCAAGUGGCUUUUGACAAGAUAAAACAGUAUUUGUCUAGUCCCCCGGUACUAGUACCGCCAACUCCAGGAAGACCGUUAAUAUUGUACCUGACUGUGUUCGAAAAUUCAAUGGGUUACGUACUAGGGCAACAUGACGAGUCAGGGAAAAAAAAGGCGAUUUACUAUCUCAGCAAAAAGUUCACAGAAUAUGAGGCAAAGUACUCUUCCAUUGAAAAGUUCUGUUGCGCUUUGGUUUGGGUAGUUCGAAGGCUCAGGCAAUAUAUGUUGUAUCAUAUGACAUGGUUAAUUUUAAAGCGGGACCCAAUAAAGUACAUGAUGGAAUCACCUGCACUCUCAGGAAGAAUAGCAUGAUGGAAGAUCUUACUAUCGGAGUACGACAUCGUCUAUGUGAGUCAAAAGUCAAUAAAAGGAAGCGCAAUAGCUGACUUCUUAGCAACUCGAACAACAGAUGAAUAUGAUCUAUUGAGAUUUGAUUUUCUGGAUGAAAACUUGAUGUGCAUUAUAGAAAAAGAGGGCGAGUCAUCAAAAGAGAAGUCAUGGAAGAUGAGCUUUGAUGGUGCAUCAACGCAUUGGGGCAUGGGAUUGGAGCAGUCUUAGUAUCGCCAGAGAGGAACCAUUAUCCGUUCACUGUUAGGCUGAAUUUCUUCUGUACCAAUAACAUAGUAGAAUAUGAGGCCUGUAUCAUGGGAUUUCGUGCAGCUAUUGAACUAAACAUCGAAAUCUUAAAGGUGUAUGGGGACUCAGCGUUGGUGAUAUACCAAAUUUGUGGAGAUUGGAAAGUGAGAGACUCGAAAUUAGUCAAAUACAGUGAUCUAGUGACAGGACUGAUCAAAGAAUUCAAAGAAAUAACUUUUAAUUACUUCCCACGAGAAGAAAACCAAUUGGCUGAUGCCCUGGCCACUUUGGCUUCAAUGUUUAAAGCAAACAGAGAAACAAAAAUAAUGCCUCUUCAAAUGAGCAUAUAUGAAGUCCCUGCACAUUGUUUCAGUAUUGAAAAAGAGCCAGACAGACGGCCAUGGUUUCAUGAUAUAUUAGAAUAUGUCAAGAACCAAAAGUAUCCCGAACAAGCAAACGAGAACGAUAAAAGAACAAUCAGAAGAAUGGCAGUAGAAUUUGUUCUCGAUGGGUUCAUUCUGUACAAAAGAGGAAAAGAUCAAGUGCUUUUGAGAUGCGUAGAUGCUGUUGAAGCCAGAAAAAUACUUGAAGAUGUCCAUGAGGGAAUCUGUGGGACACAUGCCAAUGGUUUCACUAUGGCCAGGAAGAUUAUGAGACUCGGUUACUACUGGUUGACGAUGGAAAGUGACUGCAUUAGUUUUGCAAGAAAAUGCCACAAAUGUCAAAUUUACGGCGAUAAAAUUCAUGCAGUCCCUUUGCCCCUUCAUUUCAUGACUUCUCCAUGGCCUUUUUCUAUGUGGGACAUGGAUGUUAUAGGGCCAAUUUCCCCAAAAGCUUCUAAUGGACACCGGUUAAUUUUUUGUGAUUAUUGAUUACUUUACAAAAUGGAUAGAAGCCACUUCGUUUGCCAAUGUGGCAAAGAUUGCAGUUUGCAGGUUUUUAAAAAAGGAAAUCAUUUAUCGAUAUGGUUUGCCUGAAAGAAUCAUUUCAGAUAACGCCUUGAAUCUGAGCAAUAAGAUGAUGAAAGAAGUGUGUGAGCAAUUUUAAAUAAAGCAUCAUAACUCAUCACCCUAUCGCCCGAAAAUGAACGGAGCUGUUGAAGCGGCCAACAAGAAUAUUAAAAAGAUUAUUGGGAAAAUGACCGAGACAUAUAAAGACUGGCACGAGAAGCUACCAUUUUCUUUGUAUGCGUAUUACACAUCUGUACGGACAUCUACGGGAGUAACUCCUUUCUCUCUGGUCUAUGGAAUGGAAGUUGUGCUACCUAUCGAAGUUGAGAUCCCUUCUCUACGACUCUUAAUGGAGUCGAAAUUAGAGGAAGCAGAAUGGGUUCGAGCUCGAUAUGACCAGUUAAACCUCAUCGAAGAAAAAUAUUUAAAGGAAAUUUGUCACAGACAGAUGUACUAGAAGAGAAUGACCGCGGCCUAUGACAAGAAAGUACGGCCAAGAGAAUUCCACGAAAGAAAACUCGUGCUGAGAAAGAUUCUCCCAAUACAAAAAGACUUUCGAGGAAAAUGGGCACCAAAUUGGAAAAAAAAACCAUAUGUCGUAAAGAAGGCAUUCUUGGGUGGAGCUUUGAUUCUCACUAAGAUGGAUGGGAAGGAGUUACCUAAUCUAGUGAAUUCAGAUGCUGUGAAGAAAUAUUAUUAAAAAUAAAAAAGGGAAUCAAGGUGAAAACUCGAAAAGGGCGUCUUGAUUAACACAAAAGAUUAGGAUGAAAACCCGAAAGGGCAUUCUAAUAAAGUAAACCCGGGCUUAAAGAGCAAGGCGUUUCGAACGGUGGGUCAAACAGCGAGACUACAGUAUUUGAAGCAUUUCUGAAAGCUCGAAAUCUUCUACGCAAGAAGCCAUGCUCGAAAAGAUUCUUGAUUGAGGAACGUGGAAGAGUUCAUGCGUUGAAUAUCUAGAGCAUUUGUAUUCGUUGAAUGCGAUCCCUUUUCUCUUUAUGACACUUUUUUACUAUCAUUGGUUAACUUUCUUUGUUUGCUACAUUUGAAAUAAAUAAAUGUAAGGUAUCCAUUUUCUUCCUACCUGACCAUUUUCAUGCAUCUAAUUAUGUGGUUUAUUUACAUGAUAAAUAGUGAAAUGACAUACUCUAAACAAAAGAAAUGUUAAGCAUUACCCGGAUAAGAAUUUGAUAAGUACAAGAGCCUCAAAGCAAGGACAAAGUUCAACUAGGGGCAAAAGAGUGAUAUCUGAGAAACACAGAUUAUUCAUGAAGCUUGAGGAUGGGUACAGGGCCUAAAGAGAAAGUCAAGAGCCGAAGUAAUGAAUGCAGAUCAUCACAAAAAUUGUGACGAAAAAGGACAUACGACAAACAUGCCUGAGGCGCAUAGCAAAAUCAUUUAGGCAUAAAGGCAUUUAAGACAAACAUGUGCAUAUCAUGAUAACAUCAUGCAUGACAUAUACAGGUACUCCAGUAGAGCAAGAGGAUGUGAUGAUAGCUGUACUGAAUCAAAGGAAAAGACACAUGAGUUCCACCAGAUGACAUCUUUUGGUAUUUUGAUGUUUUUAUUUCUGUUUUCAAAAAUCAACUCAUAUUGCGAGAGAUGAGUUCAGCCUCAAGACACGUUGAGGUAUUUUCAAUUUCUAUCUUUCAAAAAAAUCAACUCAUAUUGCGAGAGGUGAGUUGAACCUCAAGACAUGCUGAGGUAAUUUUCAAUUUCUGUCUUUCAAAAAAAAUCAACUCAUAUUGCGAGAGGUGAGUUGAGCCUCAAGACACGCUGAGGUAAUUUUAAUUUCUGUUUGUCAAAAAUCAACUCAUAUUGCGAGAGGUGAGGUGAGUUGAGCCUCAGGGCACGCUAAGGUAUUUUCAAUGUCUGCUUUUCAAUUUCUUCUUUUCAAAAAAAUCAACUCAUAUUGCGAGAGGUGAGUUGAGCCUCAGGACACGCUGAGGUAUUUUCAAAUUCUGUUUUUCAAUUUAUGUUUUUCAAAAAUCAAUUCAUAUUGCUAGAGGUGAGUUGAGCCUCGGGUCACAUGCCGAGGUAUUUUCAAUUUAUGUUUCAAAAAAAUCAACUCAUAUUGUGAGAGAUGAGUUGAGCCUCAGGUCACACGCUGAGGUAUUUUCAAUUCUUUUUUUUUUUUUAAAAGUCAACUCGUAUUGCGAGAGUCGAGUUGAGCCUUAGGACACGCUGAGGUAUUUUCAAUUUCUGUUUUUCAAUUUAUGUAUUUCAAAAAUCAAUUCAUGUUGCUAGAGGUGAGUUGAGCCUCGGGUCACAUGCUGAGGUAUUUUCAAUUUAUGUUCAAAAAAAUCAACUAUAUUGCAAGAAAUGAGUUGAGCAUCAGGUCAUACGCUGAGGUGAGUUGAGUCCUAGGUCGCACACUAAGUUCGCAGGCUGAUCUAUUUUCGAGGUUUGAUUUCUCAAUAAAGAAUAAAGAUUGAAGUUAAUCGAAGACACAGAUUUUAUAUCCCUGAAGUUACAGUGAAGCUAAUUGAAGUUGCAGUGGAGCUGAUCGAGGAUAUCAGACCUUACCUUUCUAAAGUUGCAGAAGAGAAGACCACAAACCUUAUCUGACUAAAGCGAUGGAAGAGCAGAUUGAAACUGUAGAUCUUAUCUUUCUGAAGUUACAAUGAAGCAGAUAGAAGCCACAAGUCUCAUAUAAUUGAAGUCACAUUGGAGAAGAUCGAAGCUACAAGGCAUAUAUCAGAAGAUGCAGUGAAUUGAACCAAAGCUAUAGGAUGCGGUGGACUAGAAAGAGACUACCUGGAUGAGAAGAACACCAAAGAAGUCCAUACUUGGCAAGACUGAGCAAAAUUGGCCUUUCUUUGUGUCUUUGCUCUAUUCCCGUUAUACGAUAAUGAGCAAAGAGGGGCAGCUGUUGUAGGCCAAUUUUGGCCCGUUUACAAAUUACCCGGGCCCAUUAAACCAUUUAACCCAUCCUCAAACCCAAACUAAAUCAAAAACUACCCAAACCUACACAAUAGACCCAUUUUACAUCCUCAGCUCAAUACUAGCCAAAUACCACUAGCCCAAAACCUAAAAUUAACCUAGCCCAACAACCAAGCCCAAUCCCAAAACCCUAGCUUCCCACUUGCCUCUCCCCACUUGCCUCUGCCACCACCUGCCCAUCGAUCAACACCAUCUCUUGGCGCCACCUGCCCCACAGUCACCUCCACCGUUCAACCACCACCUGCACAGCAAACAGGACACACAACAGCAGCAAAAGAUAGAAGUAGAUAGUGUAACCAAAAUGGGGCUAUAAAAAGCCGAAUAGAAACCAUUGUAAAGGGUUGGUUUUUUUUGAAUAUUCAAGGAAAAUAAAUCAAUACAAAAGUUAGAUUUUAAUACAUACACAAGCAGUGAUUCAAAAUACAAGGGUAACAUCAAUCGAGCAACCAAAAUACUGAUAUCAAAAAUUUAAGGUGAUUUAGUCUUUUAUUUUCAUUUAUUUUCAGAUCUAUACUCCUAUACAUUUCACAUAUAUAUAAACUAAAAACAUAAAAAAAUAUAAUACAAAAAAAGGGAAAUUUACCUUUUGCGGCCACCGGGCACGGUGGUCGGUGCCGACGCCGGCAACGGUCCAACGAUCGGACAGUGACCGGCCCUGUGGCCGGAAAUCCCCCUCUCCUCUCUCCUCUCCUUUUUUUUUUCCCUCUGCUGCUACAAAUAAUUUUUUUUGAAGAAUUUAGCCUUUAUAUAGCCUCUCAAAACGACGUCGUUUUGGAAGCUACCCUUUAACCCCAAAACGACAUCGUUUUGCCAUAGCCCGGCCCGAUCUGACCCGCUCUGGCCUAGGAUCCGCUGUUUUUUAACGGAAGGGUUAAUUGUGCUUUUAGCCCUUCCGCUUUUCUGAUACUUUGCAAUUAAGUUCUUAUGGAUUUUCAAUUUGGCCCCAUAAUUUUUUGCGGUUUUCAAUUUAGCCCCCACUGAUACGCUGCGUUUUGAUGGGAAGGAGUAAUUGCUGUUUAGGUCCUCCUAGGUUACACGCAUGUUGCAUUUUGAUCCAUUUUCUUUAUUUCUUUUUAAAAAUCACCCCAAAACUUCGUUUUUGUUUCAAAUUUAGUCCUUUUUUCAGAUUUAAGUUUAUUUUCAUAUUAUCUUUGUUAUUUUAUUUAUUUUAAAUAUUAUUUAUAUUAUUCUCAUGAUUAUCACUCUUAUUAUUACUGUUAUUUUUAUUCCUUUAUAUUAUCAAUAUAUUAUUACUAUAGCUACUAUUAUUAUUUCUAAUAUAUAUUACGUACAUAUUUUUAAUAUUAUAAUAUAUUUAUAUAAUAUUAUUGAUAAGCUUUUUUAAACAUUAUUAGUAUUUAUAUUAUGUAUAUAUUAUGCAAAUAUUCUAAUACUAUAUUAUAUAUAUAUUCUCAUAUUACUAUGUAUAUAUGUUUUUAAUAUCAUAUUUUUAUAUAUUGUUAUGUAUAUACUUUAAUAUUGUUAGUUAUAUAUCUUUUAUACUAUUGUACGUAUAUUUCUGAUACUAUAUUGUAUAUUCCUAACACUAUUAUUAUAUAUAUAUACGUACUUAUGUAGUAUGUGAAUAGUUUUUUAUAUACUAUUAUCAUUUCUAAUAUAGGUAUAUAUUGUAUAUUAUAUAUAUAUAUAUUAUGUACAUAUUUUUAAUGUUUUCAUGUAUAUAUUUCUUAUACUAUUCCAUGUACGUAUUUUGAUCAUCUUAUGUACAUAUUUAUUAUUAACAUAUAUUUUCUUUCUUAUGUUUUUAUUAUUUCUAAUGUAUUGUAUAUGUUCAUUUUAUAUAUAUUAUAUACAUCUAUUAUGUAUAUGCUUUAAUAUUAUUAUUAUGUAUACACUUUCCAUUUCUAUUAUUACAUAUAUUUUAAUAUAUAUAUCUAGCAUUAUUAGUGUUUUUUAAUAUUAAGUUUACGUCACCUUACUUAUUAUUCUUAUAUGUUUAUAUAUAUGUUCGUUCUUAUUUCGCGUUUAAUAAUAUUGUCAUCAUGUUUAAUAUCGCAUACGUUGUUAUUGUUUUAAUAUUAUUAUUGUAGUUAUUAUUUGUUUCGACGUAUUUCUAACUCUGUCAUGUUUUGUUACCUCCCAUUUUUGUAUCAUCUCACUGUUCACCGCUUUAAAGAUUUUUAUUCAUGUUUUUUUUAAUUUCAAUAAAUAAGGCAAUGUACCGAUUUAACAUUAAGCCAUCGAUUUCAUCGCUAUGUUGGGUGAAAUUCGUCGGCUCGUGUUAAAGAUGGAACACCCUUCUAAAAAACCGAAAACUAAAAAUUCUCAUUUUUUAAUUAGAUCACGAUUAAAUGUUAAAUUGAAUUCGUACUUUUGAAAAUCAAGACAACACGAGUUUAAUACCUUCCUGUACGUAUCCGAUUCCCGAACCCUAUUUUUCUCUGGAUUUUUGCGUAGACCCAAAUUUGGCCUUCAUUUUUGUUCAAGAAUAAAUUUUCUUUUCAAAAAAGAUGUUUUAUUAGGUGUCCGAUCUCACCUAGAAAAAAGAUCGGUGGCGAUUCCCUUUUUUAAUAAAACCAAAAGUCGAUUUUCAAAUUUCCAAUAAGUCACCUCAAUUAGCGAUAGAAAGCAAAAGUUUUUACGUCGCGACAUUAUCAAUUCAAAAUAAUAUUUAUCAUCCAAGAUGUUAGUUUCUUGAAUAUCAUAUAUAAAUUUAAGUUUAAUUCAAUUAAUUAUAUAUAUAAAUGAACAAAUUCAUAUAAUUUACCUUUAUAACAUUGUACAUUUAGUAUAUUUGGGUUUUUUCAACAUUUAUAACUCAAUCCAUCACAAAAUCGAAAUUUAACGUGCAAUUACAUUUAUGGUAUAGUAUUUAGUAUAUUUGGAUUAUUUUUUUGGUGAUAAACAAAUAACGAAGUUACCUUAAAUUAAGUUGUUCAAAAACACCAUUAUUUUUAUCUUGUUAUAGAAUUUUUAAGACUUCAUUAAGGGCGUCAUUAUAAACUUGUAAGCUUAUCUUCUAAAUAGUCAGCAACUAGAUUAACCUCCUUAAAAACAUAUCUAAUCAAUCACAGUCCUUCAAUUUUCAUAAUCAGUUGGACCAUCCUGAACACUUGAUUCUUAAAUUCACCAUCACACUACCUUAUAAAGUUUUGACCAUCUCCAAAUUAUCGGUCUAAAUGAGUAUAACAUAUUUGAAUUUUAAUCUUAAAUUAUAAUAUCUUUUAGUAAAGCAAAAGAAUUCAAAUAUUAAUUUCUCAUAAACUAAAAACAAUUCCAUGUAUUCUAGGGAUUAAAUUGUUUGUAGAAUUCUAUAAAAAAAAAAAAAGAAGUUGUCUAGAGAAGCUUCCAUGACCAAACAACGUUAAUGACAAAUUGGCAACCUUAAAUAAAUAUAAAAUAAAAAAAUAGGAAUUUUUAUUUUUCUUCUUGAAUUAGGUUUAGGUAUAUGCUUUCUUUUUCUAUCUUUUCAAAAAGCCAUCAUUUACGAUGAAGACAAUGAUAUAGUUUCAAGCUUUAAUGGAACCAAUACUAUAUUUUCUUUUAUUUCUUCUUAAAAUUGGAGAAAAAGUGAUUAAGGAACCCAAGAAAAGGAACCAACAUCAAAUGUUGUAACUAAUUUAUUUCUGUUUUUAAUUUAACAAUAUGUUUUCAGUUACACUUGUCAUUAAUUAUAAUAAUUAUGAUUUUAACUCAUUACAACCAAACAUAAGAGUUUUAUUUAGAUUAUAAAUUUAUAUCGUAGAUAUUUUCAAAAUUUUAAAGUAAAAUCGAGAGGAUAAUUCAAUCCCUAUAUUAUUAGAAUGUGAGAGAGAAAAUGCAUUUGAUGACUACAUUAAUUACAAAGUGUGAUACUCAAACAUUAAAAGUCGAAAUUUAUGUACUUUUAGCUUUAGAAGUUUAAAUUAUUUAAAUAUUUGAAAGGUAUAUGAAAACAUUUUAGAUUAGUUUAUAUAUUAUUAUUUAAAUAUUUCAUGUAUCAUUCUAUUAAAUUACUUAAAUAUCAUAUAACUUAAUUAAAUUUUUUAUUUUUAUUAUCAUGUCUUAAAUAGAUACUUUAACUUUUAAUCAUAAUUUUUAGUGGCAAUGAAAAAUACUAAAAUUUAACAACCAUGUUUUUCCAUGGCAUUUUUCUAUCACUGAUAAACAAUAAAAGUAACAUAUUUUAAUCUCAUUCAUUAAUGAAUUUUUGGAUGAUUAUUUAUGCAAAUUGGUGAAUUUGAUGCUCCUAAUCCUUUAAAUUCAUAUUUCUAUACUUAGGAGAGCAUUUGAAAGCAAAAGGAACGAAAAAUGAGCCAAAAUCGAACAAAUAGAGCUAUUUCCAAGAGCCACACAGCCUGGGCCUUUCCACACAAGCUGGACACACGAUCACGUGCCAGACUGUGUCGAUUUCAUAACUUGAAUCCCAAAUGCACGAAAAAACACAAUUUUUAAGCUUUCUGAGCAUUCUAAAGUCUAUAAAUACAAAUUAGAAGAAGAGAAGAGGAAGCCAUCAGAGAAUAUCGAAAAAAACAACUCGAAGAACACCAUUGGAGUCAACUCCGAAGCAGAUUUUCAUCAAGAUCAAAGACUUCCUUUUAAUUUCUUUUGAAAUUUUUAUGAGUUUCUUAGUUUCUUAUGGUUUCUCUGACUUUGAGAUGUUUUUAUUCAGAAUGAACUAAUUCCCUAGAUACCUAAGAAGGAUGAAACCUAUGAUGAAUUCUAUUAUUUAAAUUUUAUUUUACGAGAUAAAUAUUUAACUCUUGUUCUCAAUUAUGUGUACUCAUUUCUUGUUUUAAUAUUUUCGGAGAUAUUAAUUCAUGUUUAAUGUACUUAAUCAGAGGAGCAAAAGUUCUUGUUUAAGAGUAGAUCUAGUAUAAUUGAGUCGAGUUGCAUGCAAUUCUAGAAAUAGGACGACAUAAAUCUACCGGAUUAGAGUUAAAUCUAAUAGGAAAAUCUAUAGAUCGAGUUAAUGAGACAAAUAGGGAUUUUAAUUAGAAAAAAAUUUCAAUUAAUCAACCUAGUGUCAAUUGCUCUUACACUCAAAAGAGAUAUGAGCAUAAUUUAGGGAUUUUUACGGAUCAAAACAUCAAGUGAAUAAAUCGUUUAAAUCAGACUCAUAAUAAUAGAUGAAGUCUAGGCGGAUUCUUUCCUGGGUAUUGUCUCUCUCAUUGGUUAUCUUUGGAUUAUUUUCCUGAUUCAUCCUCUGUUGAGUUCUUAGUUAAAUUAGUUUAAUAAUUUUAGCUUAAAACCCGUCACUCCAAUUUGUCGGCUAAAUAAUAAGAAAAUGGUAAUUAUCAAUACUUUUAAUCCUUGUGAAUACUAUAUCUUUACUCACCAUAGCUAUACUACUUAUCAAUAGGUGCACUUGUCUCUGUCGUAUUUUUAGUUAGUCAAGAAAAACACACAUCAACCACACUUUUCAAAAUUUUCAAAUAUACUUUUGAAGAGCAAUUUCAACUGUAACAUUAAUGGAUAAUGGAGAAUUGGCCCUUAAUCUCUUUCAAAUUAAACGAGAAUAAUUUAACCCCUAUACUAUUCAAAUGUAAGCAAUAAAGAUGAUUAUGCAUGGUAUUAACCAUGUAAAAGUUGACUCGGUAAAAAUAACAAAGAUAAAUACAAUUGUUAAAAACAUCUAUAUGUGCAUAAUUGAUAAUUAAAAAAACCAUUAUAUAAUAUUCUAAAAAUAUAAAGUUCAAACAUAUAUGUUAAAAAUAAGGGAAAAUUACACUACAGGUCACUCUAAAAUAGUAUUAUUCCUAUUUUGGUCACUUUAAAUUUUGUUUUGUCAAUUUAUUCACUUUAAUUAAGAUAAUUGCUCGAAUUGCUCACUAUUGUUAAAAAUCCCUUAAUCCACUAACAAAUUGUUGAUGUGGCAUUUCUUUUUACUUCUGGCUAAAGCUAGAAACCUCUCUAUAAUUAGUCCAAAAUACCUUUUUUGGUUAUUUGCAACAUAAGACUAAAGUUUGUAAGUUUUCUCUUUUUCCUCUUCCUUGUUUGUUUAUGGAGAAAAGUAAUAGAAUAAAAUGAGGAUAGUUUUGACUAUUUUAAAACAACACAACCCUUCUCAUGGAUGCUAACUAGUAAAAUUAGUAUUACACGCACAGGAAACAAAAAUUAAAAUACUAAAACAUCAAAAUUUUCUUUAAUUAAUAUUUUGACAAUAAAAGUAAAGAAAAACUCUCUUGAUUGAUCUUCAACUCGAUCAAUUUCCUUUUAAUUUUCAAAGUAUAAAAAAAAAGUUGAGAAUGUGGUUGGAGAUCAUCUACGGAAUUAUCAUUUAUUAAUUGUUUUGAUGCUUCUCCUAUGGCGGCAACGACAUUUUAGAUUUUAAAAUCUCUGAUUUUAAUGCUAUUUUCUCUAUUGUCAAUCAAUACUUUUUUUUUUACAAUUUCAAUAUUUAAAAAAAAAUUAUAGUAAAAUUAUUGAUUUUGGUACAACCUAUUGCUAAGAUGAAAUUAUUUGUGUAAAUAUACUAGAUUGUUAAUAUUUGCUUGAUUUCUUGGAAAUUGAUUUCACAAGAAGAGCGUGAUUACCAAUGGUUAAGAGAAACGACGAUAAGGAUAUUAAGUUGAGGGUGAGAGUGGGAUUGAGUUGUUUUAAAAGAGUCAAAACUAUCAUCAUUUUUCUCUAUUACUUUUCCCAAUAAACAAACAAGAAUAAGAAGGAAAAAAGAGAAAACUUACAAAUUUUAGUCUUAUGUUGCAAAUAAACAAAAAAAAAAAGUGUUUUGGACUAAUUACAAAGAGUUCUCUAACUGUAGUUAAAAGUAAAAAAAAUGUCAUGUCACCAAUCCAUUAGUGGAUUAAUGAAAUUUUUAACGAUAGUGAUCAAUUUGAGCAAUUAUUUUAAUUAGAAUGACUAAAUUAACGAAAAAGAAUUACAGUGAUUUGUUGUGUAGUUUAUCCUAAAAAUAAAAAUAAUUCCAAAAUUUUAAAUAUUGUUUGAAGAAUUUUUUAAAUUAAAAAAACAUCUUUAACUUUUUUUUCAAAAUUUUGGAACUGAAUAUUAUAACCUUUUUGAAUUUCAAAGUAUUUUAUAAUUUUGGAACUGAUUAUGAUCCCCAAUUGGCCUUAUUCGAUCCCUUGCCAGAAGUACAUAAACUAAUUGCUUCUUUUAUUUUGGAAGGGACCAAAUUACUUCUAGCCUUAUGGUCUAGGGAUCUCUUGGAUAUUUAUCCAUUAAAACUAAAGGUGGAUGAUACAAUACAACCAACUUGAUAUCUGAAGUUGAUGGACCCCUUUGAUGUUUAUUCAAUAAUACUUUUGUGAACAAAAUGUUUUAAGAAAAGUUAAUUUACUAUUUAUAAAAAAAUUUAUAUUAAAUAUUCCAUAAAUCAUAAUUAAUUUAAUGAAUUUCCAUGCAUCUAGAAAAUAUAUCUACUAAUAUAAUAUUCUUAAAAGUAGAAUAUAAAUUAAUGCUCAAGUUUUUUUAGAAGAAAUUAAUGCUUAAGUUAAUAAUUUUUUUUAAAAAAUUAGUUAAUUUGUAUUUUAAAAAUGAGUUAGUAUUUGAGACAUUCGUUUGUUCUUAUACUUUUUAAAAUUUAGUUUUUUUUUUUACUUUUUCAAAUUAACAAAAAAAAAUAAUAGUGAUAACAAUCGAAUUUGAAUUUUAAAAUUCAAAAAGUAGAGAAAAUAAAUUCCUAAAAAUAAAAGUAUAGAGAUCAAAUUCUAAAUUUUUAAAAAACACAUAGAUUCACAACAUAAUUUAAUACGUUACUAUACCAAAUAUUUUUCUUUUAAAAGUAAUAUUUUUGUAGAAAUAAUAAAAUUAAUAUAUUAAAAUACUUACUAAUUUGGAGACUGAAUUAAGUAAAGCCCAGCUGGGCAAGGAAGUUGAAAAUUGAAAUUACCAAAAUUAAAAGAAAUAAAAAAAAAAUCAACCUUGGUAGCUAUCUUAAUAUGAUGUGGACAUUGCCGUUGGAAUUGGGGCUUUGAUGUUUUUUUUUUACCACAAAUGGACUGAAAUAAUUAUGAUAAUAGCUUGUUGUAUUAAUUUUAAAAAAGAAUUUCCACCCUCAUUAUUCUAUAAAUUUAAUUAUAUCUUCUUAUAAUAACUUAAUUUAACAGUUUCUUCUAAAAAACAAUUAUUUAAUUUACAUUCAUAUAAAUAUAACCUCUCGGAGAAAAAAUUAUUUAUUAUAUAUAUUACAAUAGUUAGACUUAAAAUAAAUAAUAAUUAAUAUAAAGUUUAAACUUGAAAAUAAAAAGAUGAGUAAUAAAAAUUUUUAUAAAAAAAAAUAAGACCAUUUCAAAAUAAGUGCAGAUUUUUCUUUCUCUCUACUAAAAAUAAAUCAUCGAAGUGACUAAAUUUUGUCAAUUGAAUUAAUUUAUUACCAACUUAUAUAUUAAAACAUGUGUAAAAAAUAAUAUCCCUACUGUACACAACAUUAAAGAGUUAUUUGUGGUGUAAAAGUGAUAAUAAAUUAAAUCGGAUCGAAUUGCUUAGUUAAGUAGUGAAUACUCAUGAUCCUCGAUCUUCAAGAAUGAUUCUAUGUAUCCUUUAUUAUAAAAUGAAAUUUGAGAAUAUUUUUAUACAAUGAUCAAAUAAAAAAAAAAUCUAAGCCAAAACUAUGAUUGUGGGUUUGGCUCUCUUUAUCAUCCACUUUAGCCAGUCAUCUUUCUCGUUGGAUCAACCUGUGCUUUAUAUUAGUUCUCUCAAGGUGUUAAUAUCAUCCAGCAAUGGUUUAUAGGACUUGAUAAAAAUAACAUAUUUUAGUUUUAUUCUUAAUGCGUUUUUGGAUAAUUAAUCGAUGUAAAAUGGUGAAUUUUAUGCUCUUAAUCUUUUAAAUUCAUGUUUCUAUACUUAAGAGAGUAUUUGGGAGCACAAGGAGCGAAAAUAAAAAAAAUCCAAGCAAGGUGCAGAGCCCACACGGGCUGGACUCUCCCACAUGGGCUGGGCACACAGCCGUGUGAGCCACACAAGCUACCACACCGGUGUGUGUUAGAUCGCGUCAAAAUCGUGAUUUGCACUCCAAACAGCAAAGAAACACAAUUUUUAGGUUUUUUGGGGCAUUCUAAGACAUAUAUAUGACAAAAAUAAGAAAAUAAGAGGAGCCGUGAUAAAAUACUCAAGAAAACAACUGAAAAAAUACGAUUGAAGCCGACUCUGAAGUAUAUUUCCAUCAAGAUUGAAUAUCUCAUUUUGAUUUCUUUGAAGUUUAUUAUGAGUUUCUUUGUUUCUUGUAGUUAUACUGUCUUUGGGAUGUUUUUAUUUGCUAUUAUAAACUAAUUUUCUAAAUACCUAGGGAGAUGAACUCUAGGAUGGAUUUUGUUAUUCGAUUUCUGUUUUUACGCAAUAAAUACUUGGAUCUUAUUCUCAAUUAUAUGUGCUUAAUUCUUGGUUUAAUAUUUCUAGACUAUUAAUCCAUAUUCGAUGUGCUUAAAUCAAAGGAAGAAUAGACCCUAUUUAAGAGUAGAUCUAGCGUAAUUGAGUGGAGUUGCAUGCAAUCCUAGAAAUAGGAUUACAUAAAUUUACCGGAUUAGAGUGAAAUCUAAUAGGUGAAUCCAUAGAUCGGGUUAAUGCGAUAAUAGAGGUUUUAAUUAGAAAUAAAUUUCAAUUAAUUAACCUAGAGUCAAUUGCUCUUAGUCUUGAAGAGAGAUAUUAGCAUAAUUUAAGGAUUUUUAUGGAUCAAGAUACUAAGUUAAGAAAUUGCAUAAUAUAGAUUAAUAAUGACAGAUGAAGUCUCGGUGGAUUCUUUCCUAGGUAUUGUCUUGCUUCUUGGUUGUUAAUCACUUAUUUUCCUGAUUUGUUCUUUGACGUGUUCUUUAGUUAAUUAAUUUAGUUCAUUUUAGUUUUAAUCAAUCACUCAAAUUUGUAGGUUAAAUAAUAGAAAGACGGUAAUUACUAGUACUUUUAGUCCUUGUGGGAACGAUAUCUUUACUCACCAUAGCUAUACUAUUAAUUGAUAAGUGCAUUUACCUUAGUUAAAUUUUUAGUUGGUUUACGACUGCAUCAAAUUUUUGGGACCAAUCAAUUGAAUAGAUCUUCCUUCCAAUGAUAGUUUUAAUGACCUAUCCUUGAUUUUAAAAGUACAGCAGGAGGUACCUAUUUUAACUACUAUGACCAAUGCAAUCCUUAGGACUAACAAUUUCCUAAUUGUACCAUUAUCAUGUUGUAUUCUUUCUUGAUGCAUCUUAACCAACCUUCCAUUCAAGUCUCUAAUGUGAAGUACCCAUUCAAAUUCUUCAUUUUUUCCUACAACAACCAAUUAUGAUACAAUAAGAGUGAGUAAUAGUUGCCCCACCCCCUUAUGCCUUCAAUAUUUUUCCUUUUUGAAUUGGAUGAAACCCAUUCCAUUUGAGCUUUCCUCGUUAUUUUGAUGUACUCCUCCACUUCCUUAAUGACAGCGGAUUCAUGCCGAUUCUUUCGAAAAUAACUUUGUUUCUAUGACCCCAAAAUUUCCAUAAAUUAAUGAUUAACUCCAUAAUCUCAUCUUUCAAGAUUAACUCCAUAAUCUCAUCUUUCAAGACUUGAUCCCUCUCUCUAACUCUUCAAACAAUUGUAUGAUCCAAUCUAUCAUAGAUAACGAACUAUUAUCUCUUGUACAAAAAUGAAAUCUCGAUCCGAACCACACUACUCUAGCCAAAUCACACUCCUAGAAUAGGUUAUUUAUGUCCUCUUUUCCUUGGCAUGAAGCACACUCUAGAUUAGUAGCGUUAAUUCUCCUUUUUAACUCAAAUUUACAAAGAAGGUUAUUUUUGAGGAGUUUCCAAAGAAAUAUAAUCACUUUAAAAAUGAACUUUCAACGUCCAUAUAAAGUUCCAGAUUCUCAAUGAAAUAAUGGGACCAUGUAAUAUUGAACCUAAGAAUGUCUUUUAUUCAGAAUCUGUGAGUAAGCUGACCUUAUCGAGAAAUUCCCAUCUGACGUGUGUUGCCAUUUAGGUUUCACAUGUUCCUCUAACAAAGAUUUACUAUUGAUCUCCUAGUUCUCCUAUCACGCCUCUGAUAAUAUGAUGAAUCUACGACUCUGUAAUUUUGUGUGAACUCCGUCUGUUUUCGAUCUGCCAAGCGAUAUUAUUUUCAAUCACUUCCUUGCCCAUUAAAAUGCUCUUCCAAGUCAUGUAUCCUUGAAGGAUGUUGUCUUUGGUGCAAUGCUUUUUUAUUAAGGUUUCUUUCUGAAACCAACUUUUCUCAUUGACUAAUCUCCAUGCAUGUUCGAGAUGUUGAAGUAUUUGAUUAUUGUAUAAUUUUUAUGUUAUAAAGUUAUAAUCUUGUUUGAAAUAUUAUAUAUUUAUAUAAAUAUUGGCAUGUGAAUACAUUAUUUAGGUUAGGGUUAGUAUUUAUACAAUGUUAUCGAAAUAUGUUAAUAAUACAAUGAGGAUUCAAAAUACUAUCACAUGUUAUUAUUUUUAUUUUACCCUAAAUGAGGUAUGUAUCACCUUCAAAAUCCUAUUUGUAAAGUAUAAAAACUCUACUGAAAAUGAAUCCAAUGAUUUUUUUUAUGUUAUAUUAUAUAAAUAUUAAUAUCUUUGUGUAUUCAUGUUGUUUCACAUAUUUUUAUGUUUUCUCUUUAAUUUAUUCUCUAAUAUUAUCCAGCCUAACUUGAAGGAUCGAACUCAAAAAAUAGAAAAAACUGAGGUUAUCAUUUCCCAUUUUAUAUCAUCUAUAAAUUCUAUAGUCAAAGUGAGAUUUUCUGAACUCGACAUUUUUACUUUCCUCCUAAAUGAUACUGUAUGAAUUAAGUACAACCAUUGAACUUGACACAUUAAAUUGAGCUAACCCUAAAAAAAAUGUAUUCUGAGAAUAACUUUGAGAAAAUAUAUUUUUAAAGAAGAUUUUUUUUUUUUUAGAAUAAUGAAGGGAAAAAAACUCAAUAGUUUAACUUAUUAAGCAAUUAAACCCUAGACUUCUAGAUAAAAAAAAUUUACAAGCAAAGUUUGGAUUUUAAUAAUUUCAUGGAUAAAAUGAUAGUAAUAAAUACAUGUUAAUUUGUAUACAAGAAUUAUAUUUUUAUUUAGAAUAUCACAUUUUUACACUUUUAUUUAAUAUAAUAUUAAAUAAUUUAAAAUAUGGAUAAGAAAGUAGUUAAUAAUUUCUAACAGAAUAGCAAAUUAUGAUAGAUAUGUAUCUCAUAUUUAAUUCUUAUUUAAAUCUUAUCUCAAAUAUUUUAAUAUAAAAAAAACUAAUUUCUUAUAAUAGAUUUAAACAAAUAUUGGCAGUUAAAUUGAUAUGAAAGCCAUAUUGACAAUGAAUCACUAAAAAUAGAGAUUAAAUAUUAAUAAUAUAAUUUUUGGCAAAGAUUAUGAAUUUCCAUAUAAAAUAAAAUCUAUAGAAAAGUUAUGUGUUUAAACUAUAAUUUAUUCUUUUAAUUUUAAAAUUAUAAUACUACAUUAAUAUUGUUAUAUGAUAUAUUUAAAAGUGUUUAUGGACGAGGUUGGUGUUUAAAAAUUUUCACCUCGAAUUGAUCUGACUCGACUCAUUUUAUAAUUUUAAAAUAUUAUUUUUUAAAAUAUAAUAUUUAUAUUUAUAUAUUUUAUUAUUAAAUUUAAAUAAAAAGUAAAUUUUAUUAAUAUAAAACAAUGAAAUGGUUAAUUGAUAAAAGAAAUUUUAUGUCGUCCAAAUUAAUAAUUUUAAUAGGUGGGUAAUUAAGUCGAAACCUGAUUAAUUGUGUAUUUUAUUAAUAAUAUAAUAAAAAUAAAAAUAAUAAAACAAUUUAUUAUAGUGAAUUUAAAAAAAUAUUGAUAAUCAAAUUAAAAUAAAAUAUGUUUUAACAAACAUAAAUUUGGUGAUAGUAUUAUGAAUUUUCAAAGUUUAAUAACUAAAUAAAACUUCUCAAAAAAUAAAGUUAUGAAAAUUAUAUUUUUUUAUUUAAAUUAUAAUAGAACAUGUUCAAUGUAUGUGGUACAUUGAAAGAAAUGCUAUUGCUGUGUAUCAUCCAAUAUGUAUGGUACUAUCACUUAUUUAAUUAUUAGUAUCUAAUAGUUAGGUGACCAAUUUUUUUUAUGUCAGCAAUGUUAAUGUCCAAAAUGUCUAUAAUCUUUUGGUCCAAUGACAAAUAUUAUGUAGUAGGCAUGAAAAUUUGAGUUUAAUACCAAGAAAUCUCGUUCUUCUUCCUCAAUUAUCAAAAAAGAAAUGUUAGUACCAAAAUUGAUACUUUGAAUAGUUGAAUAACCGAGUUUAAACCUUUUGAAUGGUUGAAUGAUUAUCUAUGUAAUUUAUCAAUAACAUUCAUUAAACUUUACAACUAAAAAUGUAAUUAUAAAAUAGCAAUAUAUGAUAAGUAACAUUAUAAUAUGUAUUAAUUUAUCAAUAAUAUUAAGCUAUGUACUUUGCAUAUGCCGUGGAUAUAAUAUAUGUAUUUUAAUUUGAUCAAUUUUAGUUACUAUACUUUUUAAAAUUUAAAAUUUAAUCUUAUACAAACAGUAACAAUUAAAUAAUUUAUUAAUAUUUAAUAUACUUACAAAGUAUUUUUUUAUUGUAAAUAAUUUUAAAAUAUUGUCAAUGUAUAAUUUUUUAAAAAUAUUUAUUUGUUAAUAUUUUAAUAAAUCUACUAAUAGGGAAAAAAAAACCUUUAAAAGUUAGUAUCAACAUUCAACAAUGAACAAAGAGAAGAACCCAAUAAAUAAUUAAAAGAAAAAGAAAAAGAAAAUGAAAAUGAGAAAAGUUGGAAGCUUAUAGUUUGAAUAAAAUAAUUAGAAAAUCUACCUAAACAAAGUCCAAAGAAGCUUCAACUUGUCGAUCCACUUGCAGUGUCCGGCGUAAGCCUGUUUGCUAUUAACAAAAUAUACCCCUCUCUCUCUCUCUCACUCUCCAACAAAUCCUCCCUUUUCCACCUUAUCGUAUAUAUUCAAAACCAUGAUCUUCAUCCCAUGCCCUCAUUUUUCGCCCUCUUAAACUACCCCCCAUCAAAUGCCUUCCUCUUUGCAGCUCCAACGCACCACUACCACCGCCGUUGGCACCUGCCGCCACCAAAAACAACAACCCCCACCCCCUACCACUCUCACGUCCUUUUUCCCUCUUCCAACCGGCGUCUCCGUUCCCGACAUGGUCUCCGCCUACCACUUCCACACCUUGGGUCCUAACCAGUGUUGCUCCGCUGUGGUUCAAACCAUCAAGGCCCCUGUCGAAACCGUCUGGUCGGUGGUUCGCCGUUUCGAUAACCCUCAAGCUUAUAAACACUUCCUCAAAAGCUGUCAUGUCAUCGUCGGUGACGGUAACGUAGGCAGCCUCCGUGAAGUCCACGUCAUAUCGGGUCUCCCCGCCGCUUUCAGCACCGAGAGGCUUGAAAUCCUUGACGACGAACAUCACGUGCUUAGCUUUAGCGUCGUCGGAGGUGUUCAUCGGUUGAAUAAUUACAAGUCUGUCACGACUCUACACGCUUCAAACAAAGGUAACGGGACAGUUGUGGUGGAAUCAUUCGUCGUUGACAUACCGCCCGGUAAUACCAGAGAAGAUACAUGCACUUUCGUUGAUACUAUUGUACGUUGCAACCUUCAAUCUUUGGCUCAAAUGGCUGAAAAUAUGGCAACAAAAGAAUCAUUGUCAUCAUCUCCCUAAACUAUUCCAAAGAAAAAGAAAAUCUAAUUCUCUCAAUUCUUUUUUUUUUUCUCGAUGUGGGAUUUAUCCAUUAAUGACUUCGUAUCGAGAUUCAUAGAUAAAGUUGAAUGUGAUCAUAUGUUACAAUAUUGGUAUCAAUGAUGUAAUGUUUAAUUUGUAAUUUUUAGCUUUUUUCUUCCCAUCUGGUGAAGAUUUCGCUUUGAUGAUCACACUCAAUUUUAAUGUAAUUAUGAAUGUAUUUCCUUCUUUGUUUCAUCAAAUAUAUGUGAUUUCCACUUAAAAUAUCUUCAGCUGGGUUAGUAUAUUUAAAAAGGGUGUUUGAUUUAAUAAAAGAAAAAGUAUAUAGAAAUUCCAGUUAGUAAUCCACGGAUCAUAGGGGUGGCUAAUGGCUAUAUAAUAUAAGAUUAUAUAUGGAUAAAGAAGAUGAAAAGGGCCGGUGUAUGACAUGUUAGAGACUUGGCAUUUACAUUACUAUAUUCAAUUUAAUCAUUUCUUUCUAAUUUUUAUUCCAUCAUGUAACAUGUUUACAAGAAAAGAGGCUAAAUUAUAUAUAUAUAUAUAUAUAUAAUAUAAACCAUAUCUUUUGAAUUUUCAUGUACGGAUAGGUUUUCAUUGUUUUUCUCUAUAAUCCACUGACCUACAUGAUAUUUUUGCCAUCAAAAACAUUUCUUUUAUGAGGUUUAUAUGACCGAUGAAAGUAAUUAGAAGUUGACACAUGACAUGCUAUAUCAAUAUUUUUUUAAAAAUUUACAUUUAGACUGAACUUAAACAAAUGAACAUUUAAAUUUAUUUGAAUUUGGACAAUAAUUUAUCUAGGCUCAUUUUAAAUGUAAUUAUUAAAAUAACAUAAAAUAUUUUUAAAAAUUAUAAUAAAAAUACAAAUCAUUAAAAAAUAUAAAUAAUUAUUUAAAAAUUAUAAAAAUAAAAAUAUUAAAAAGUAUAAUUUUUUUUUAAAAAAAAAAAAGAUGAUCAAAAUUUAAGUAGGUAAUUAUUCAUCAAAAUGUCUCAAGAAUACAACAAUGACAUAUUUUUAGUAAUCAAUGUAAUUCCUGAAAUUGCUUUCCUCUCUUACAGCUUCUUCCAUGUUAGAUUUUUAUAUUUUAUGAUAUUUUUAUAAUUAUUUGAAUUUAUAUAAUUUUAAAAAUAUUUUAUGAUUUUCAGAUAACAUUUUAUAAUUUUUAAUAAUCACAUCUAAGCGGAAUCUAGAUAAAUGUAUGUUCAAAUUUGAAUAAACCUAGAUAUUCUUUGUUCAAGCUCAUUUUAGAGUAUAUUUUUAAAAAUAUUUAAGACUUUACAGCAUACUUCUUAUUCUUUUAUUGACAUUCGUUAAUGAUCAAACCAUUAAUCAAUGAUGAUUUCUAUUAACAGAAUAGCUUUACUUUUUGGAUUUAGAGUUGAAUCGAAUACUUUUUCUAAUAAUGGUUUAAUUGAUUUUUAGAUUUUUGAUUGAGGAAAAUGAUUAUUAAAUGUAAAUGAUAUGAAAUUGGAAAACAAGAUUAUAGUGAUUUAAAAUCAGCCGGUAAUCAAAGUUUCAAAAUUCAUGUACUUGAGAGAGAAGAAUCAAAAGGUGGUUUAGAAAAUGCAACUUGAUUUCUUAUAAAACUCCAACUUGUGGUACUAAACAUUGCAAGUUGAUGGUAAUCUUCAACAUCUUUUCUAUUUAUUCUUUUCCUUUAUUACUAAUUCACAGAAUUUGUGUUACUAAAUAUAUUCUUUAAAACCAAUUAUUAUAUUAUUUAUAAUUCUACGUUUCGAAUUUAAUUCUAUUCAUAAUUUUUACCUUCAAAAUAAUGUUUUUAUUCAUAAUUUUUAUCGCUUUACAUAAUAUAUAUAUAUAUAUAUAUAUCUAUAUUUGCAAGUUGAAGUGCAAGUGGGAUGGAAUGAUAUUAAUGUUUCACAUUUUUUAUAUAACAAAGCCAACCAUUUGGUCUGUCUCGAACCUGAUUUGACUGCUCAAAGCCUCCAUCACUUAACAAUCUUUUUUUUUUCCUCUUUUUUCUUGUAAUUUUCAUUAAUCAAUGUCCAUAUUGUUUUUUUAUAAGUAAUCAUUUAUAAUGUUUUAUUAAUCCAAAAUUUGGUGAAAUGAAUCAAAAGAUUUAAGGCUUGGCUUGUAAAUGAUCCAAAAUCCAAAAUUAAAAUGAUUUGUUCAAAGUUUGAAAAGCCAUAUUGGCCACUUGCUAUGAAGGCCAUGCGAUUUGCUUGCAUUUGCAACAGCCUGGAAUCUGCUAAGAAAAUCAGUCGAUGGCACCCCCCUACACGUGCUUCUUGUCUGCAACUUGAUAAUAUUAAUAUCAUGCGAUUAUCAAACUUUAUAUAAUCAACAUCAUUACGCUAUAAAAAGAAUAUAAACAUUGGAAAUGAAAUAAGUAAGUUUUUCGACCCUCUUUUUUUCUAAAUUACAAUAACAGGAAAAUACGAUUAACAUAAUUUAACUUAAGGCUAAUCUUUAAAUUAAUAUUUACAUAUAUAUCUUAUUCCAAUGCAUUGAAAUGAUAAUAUAAUGUUAUUAUUAUAAAUAAUAUGUUAAUUUUUUUUGAAAGUUACAAAUAAUUAUAAUUAAUUGUCAAAAUUAAUAAAGAAAUUAUAUUCAAAUCCGAAAAGAACACACUGUAGGAAUUGGACUUACGCGCUCAAUGUCCUGAGACCUGACUGGCAACAAUAAAUUUGUUGUUUCAUCGGCUUGGUCUACCAUAGUCUUGCUUCUUGGCGAGGCACGUACAACAAAACAGGGCUUGGAUUUAAAAUUUUGAAGGGGCUUAAUAUUACCAUGUUUGCUAAGCUUUAUGUUUUCCUAAUGAUAGUGCAAUGGAGACUAGGAAAGGUUCCAAAGCAUCAUGGGUUGCUAUGAUAGAAUAAGAAUGGAAUUGAGGUUUCCAUUUGGGAUCAUCAUUGCAUAGUUUGGUCUAAAGCUAUAAAUUUACAAGCGUUCAUAAAAUGGUUGGGUUAGGUUAGAGUUGGACUCCUAAAUGGUAUAACAUAAUACAUAAUUGCUUAAGUUUUACUCCUAGUGGAAUGAAUUAACAAGGAAAAAGAGGAUGUUGGGGAUGAUGGGGCAAUGGGGAAUUAGAUUUGGGAUGAGGCCAAAGCUGCAAUCAAAGAGAUUCCUAUUUGCCAAUAAAGUGGUAAGCAUGCACCAAUUUGGCCUUUUGUUGAUAAAAGGCGUAUUUACUGUUUCUUUUGGUAUGAAAAUUAAUAUAAUUAAUAGAUGAAGUUUUAAUUGAAUGGUAAAGUAUACAUAAAUGUUGAAAAUUUUAGAAGCUUGGGUUUAAAUCUCAUUAUGUGGCUUUUUUACUUAAAUAAUAUAAAAAUUAAAAUUAAUAACUGAAAUGGCAUGUCUAUUAGAUUAUUUACCAAAAUGGUAAGGUUUUACUGGUGCUGCUUGUCAAAUUGGCGGCACCGGAUUGAAAUGUAAUGAUCUAAAGUAUUCAGGGAUUUGAUAUAAAAAUUUACCAUUUUGAGUGACUUUAAAAAAAAGUGAAAAGUUGCCGCCUGGCAAUGUCGUUGCACCAAACUUUAAAUGUGGCUAAUUGCCUUCUAAGCCCUCCUUAUUUAUUAUUUUCUUUUUAUUCCCCUUUAACUCACUACAUUGUGUUUAAACAAGCCCUCAACCUAUUUUCGUAGUUAAAUAAGCUCUUAACCUAUAAUUUUUAUUCAUAAAAACCCUUUAUUUUAAUAUUAACGUAAAUAUAUUUUACCCAAAGUAAAGCUAUUUAAAAAAAUAUAAACUAAUUUGCAUUUUAUGUUUAUGUGAAUUUGAUGAGAAUAGUUUAUUAAAUAAAAAAAAUUAAAAUUUCUUGAGAGUUCUUAAAUACAUGAUAUUCUUAACUACUCUUUUAAAUUUUUGAUUACUUUUUAGAUUUUAUGUUGAUGUUAAAGUGUAUAUAAUUUUUGUUGCAUCAACAAAAAAUUAAGCUAAGAGCUUGAAAUUCAACAUAUAUUUACUUUAAUAUUAAAAUAAAGGGCUUUUAUGAGUAAAAAUCAUAAGAGCUUAUUUAACUACAAAAUUAGGUUGAGAACUUUUUUAAACACAAUGUAGUGAACUGAAGGGAAAUAAAAAUAAAAUAAUAAAUAAUGAAGGCUUAGAAGGCAAUUAAGUUUUGAUGCCUCAUGUGGCAUGAGGUACCCUUUCACUUUUUUUUCAGCGGCCACUCAAAAGGGUAAAUUUGCAUAUGAAGUCCUUGAAUACUUUAGAUCAUUACAUUUUAGUUUGGUGUUGCCUACCAAUAAAACCAUACCAUUUUGGUAAAUAAUCUUAUGGGCAUAUCAUUUUAGUUAUUAAUUUUAUUUUUUAUAUUAUUUAGGUGAAAAAACCUUAUUAUGUGCAUAUAUUUUUGGCUUAAACAAUAAAAUGAUACGUAAAUUAUACUCAUUUUCUCAAGUUAGUACCUAUACUUUUUUUUGUCACAAAUGGUACCUAAACUAUACUCUGUUACCCAAAAUGGUACCUAAACUAUGCCCCGGUGCUUAAAUUACCCAGCUGUCAAAAAAUAAAAUCUUUUAACCAAUUAUUUUGUGACACACGACAAUUAUUAACUAAAAAUAUAAAAAAAAUAAAUAUUAUUUCCUUGAGUUUGUUUUCAAAAAAAAAUUUAUUAACAUAUAUUUUUUUCUCUUUUGUUCUUCACCAAUAACUCCAGUGAUGGAAAAUUCAAGAAUCCUUAGAAAAGCUUAUUCAAACCCAGUUUUCGACAAUAAAAUCCAAAUUUUAAUAAGCUUGUUUUUCUUUUUAAACCUCGAUUUUGAUUCCUUUCUCGCCCAAUCCAAAAUAUAUAUUUUAUUUUUCUAAAAAAUAACUUUUCCUGUGCUUUCUAUAUACUUCGCAUAAAAUAAUUAAUGCUGAAUGCACUUCUAUAAUGAAAGAGACCAGAUAAAACAUAAAGUCUAAAUACAAAAAAAAAAGCUAAUUACAAAAAAAAAAAGUAAGAGGAUUGUCAAAAAAAAUUUAACUUUUAAAAAAAUUCAUUAAAAGAGAAAGAAAGAAUCAUAGGGAGAGAGAGUGUGUAAAAGAGAAAGAAAGUAUCAUAGGGAGAGAGAGUGUGUGAAACAAAUUAAAAACAUAAUUUAAUUAAAAAAAAUUAUCUCGUACAUUCACAAGCGAGUUAAAGGUGUUAGAUGUGUCUGGUAGGAUAUAUUAAAAAAUUAAAAAGAAAAAAAACUCAUCACAAUCUAGGCUUUAUUGUCGAAAACUGGGUUCAAAUGUGUUUCUGAUUAGUUCUUGAAUUUUUUGUCACUAGAAUUUUUAGGUGAAGAACAAAAAAAGAUAAAUAUGUUUACAAAGGAAAUAAUAUUUAAUCUUUUUUUUGGAUAUUUUAGUUAAAAAUUAUCUCGUGCUACAAAAUGAUUGGUUAAGGGAAUUCUUUUAACAACAGAGAUAAAAUAGGUAAGUGGUAUAGUUUAAGUGCCUCUUAUGACAACAAAAAAGUUUAAAUAUCAAUUUAGAAAAAUAAGUAUAGUUUAGUUAUCAUUUUGUGAUUUAAGUAUAUAUAUUUUUUAUAUAAAAAAUAUAAAAUAAAAAAAAACACUUAAAACAAGUAAAUUAAUGAUUAUUCAAUUGAGUUAAUAUCCAUUUAACUCAUCACAGAAGUGAUUAUCUGUCAAGGGAAAUUCUUAUCUCUUAAGCCUAACACAACGACAGCUUUAGUUUCUUACAUAGGUCUAUAAGUGUAUGCCAAAGGUUGGACCACUUUUUUUUUUUUUUAAUCCACUUUAAAACCCCUCCCAAAAUGAAAUAUUUCAGUAUUAGGCCCAAAAACAUAAUUAAGCAGUGCUUGUCAGUCUUACUAAAUUAUUCGUGUAAAUAGGGUCUAAUUAUCUAAGAAUUUGAUAAACAAGGGGUAGUUUCGUAAUAAAAAACUAAAACUCUAUGUGAAUCAACUGAAUUAAAUUUCGAAUUCCCCGAAACAAAAUUUUAAUAUAAAUUUAUUUGACAAAACAAACCUCAAAAGCUAUAAUAGAAAAAUAUACAUUCAAGGAUAAAAUAAUUUGGCAAAGAGAAGCUCAUUCCAAGUAUCUUGAAGGCCAGGCAAACACCAAUGAAUACAAUCCGCAUAGCUACUCGGGUUAGCUAACUGCUUAGGUGUCAAUGGAUUCCAUUGCUUUUUAUAAAUCGAUGUGUGUGCAUCUUUGCGAUAAUUUGAGAGUUGAGUGAUGUUAAGGAAUGUAAUGGGGUACUUUGAUUUACUAAACACUUCCCCAAUCACUUUCAUUACACUCUUUCUACUAUCUGAACCCCAAUAAUUCGGAUCUUCAAUCAUUGUUGUUUGAUUAUAACAGUUUUCACCUGGUUCACCUCCCCAAUCUAUACCCCUAUCAAAAGAACAAAUGAACGAUCCAACACAAAUUAAUUUAACAGAAAAAAUUCGAUAAUUCGAAACUUUAAAUUAUAUAAUUACUUUGCAUGAGUAGGGGACAUGCUAGUGAAAAAAACCCUAGUCUUCUUGCGAUCCAUAUUUUUUCUCGCCCAUCUCAACAUGCUUCUCAUUCCCAUUCCAUAGGCUUCCUCAGUUGAAACCUUUAUUAUUUCUUUAUUCUCGUCCUCAAACGAUCCUUUCCUGCUCAAAAAUAUAUAAUAAAUAUUUUUAUUCGAAACAUUUCUGAUAUUAUAUUUUUAAUUUUUUUUAAAAUAUAUUAAAAAAUUAAAUACAUCCAUAUCCGACACCUACAAGACUUUCAUGUCCAGUCCAGUCAUCCACCACAAAUAGGUAUUGAAAACCAAGAUAUCAACCCCUUUCCAAUUCUUGCCAUGCUUAUUGAUCGAACCUUUCCUCACUAUUCUAUCCGAUAUCCUAUGAACAAUCGCAUUAUCUGAGUUCGAUUCAAGGAGAAAUGGAGCCCAGUAGAACUCAAUGCUCGUAUUAUAAUCCUUAAAAAAGAAAAAAUAAUAUUUGAACAUCAAUGGAGAUUUUAACAUAAAAAAAUAUUGAUCAUAAAUUAAAUUAAAUUACGUACCCUGGCUUUGAAAACUGUGAGGGAACCAUUUUUAUGAGUUUUCAUGGAUUUUUGGUCAUCGGGGAUGAGUUUAUGAAGAAGACAUAUCAUUGAUACAAAUUGACCACGGUUCAAUGAGUCACCAACAAACAUCAUUCUCUUCCCUCUCAGUGUUUCCAACAUCAAUGUCGCAUUGAAGCUGUUCAUUCUAUAAUAAUUAUUCUCAGGCUAUGUAUCGGAAGUAAAAGUAUCAUUGAAGUUUUUAUAUUAGAAGUUAAAUUGUAUUUUGUCUAUUAUAUUUAAAAAAUAAAUAAAUUAAUUUCUAUAUUUUAAAUCAAAAAAGUAAAUGGGUUAUUUGUAUUUAAAAUUUCAUUCAUUUCUACUAUAAAAAUAAACGUAGUUGACGAGCGCCACGUGUAUAUCAUCCUACCAUACAGGGUCAAUUUUUAAUAGAAUGAUUCAUUUGCUAUUUAAUUUAACAUAUAAGAAUUAAUUUAAUCAAUAUUUUGAGUGAAAAAUGCAAUAUUAAAUUUACCUGUUAGUAGAAGGGUCUUUAUACUACUUUCACAGUAUAGUAUAUAAAAUAAAACAUUAAAAUAUGAAUAAUUUGUUUUUACCUAGGAAGAUCGCAUCCAUGAGGUUGCCAUCGCCAUUUCUGAUAGUCUUUAUCAGGUCUUCCAUGUUCUUGACAUGUCAACUGGGGUUGAAUGUACGGACACUCCGAUUCUUCAUAGAGAGGCCGAGUUAACUCGUCCCUCACCCACCUCCCACUGAAUAUAUCACAUCCUUCUUCGCCCUUCCCUAUAGCGAAUGCCAACUUCCCUCUUCUUUUCACUAACCCCAACAACCCCAAUUCCCAAGUUAAAUCCAAACAACAUAAAAAUAAAAAACAAAGCUUGACUCGUUUGACUGAGUUGAGUUAACUCACCAGGUUUAGACAUGGCUCGGCCUGGAAUUGGUUCAAGUUGUCCAAGAAUGCACAUGAAAUCUUCUCCAUAAAGAAUAGAAACGAAAACAAUGAAAGCUAACAACGUAAAGAGGUAGGGAGAGAGUCGAGCUUUUCUAAGAACAGCAGAGGAAGAAGACGACAAUGGUGGUUUCAUAUCUUUGUUUCUUUAAAAUUAAACCCAAAAAUCUGUAUUUUUUUUUACCUUAAAUUUGUGUGUGAAUUCUAAUUAUUUACAAGGGUUUAGGAAUGUUGAGAUUGGAUUCAUGAAUUAAUAUAUAGAGAGAACUAUGCAAAGGUUUACUUCCACUACUGUUUCAACAAUUUAAUAGGUUCAUGUGUUCUCAUUCUGAAAUUUUAAUUUUAUCAUUCAAAUUCGUAUAUUUAUAAUUCUAAUAAUUUUAUUUAAAUAGAAAUUCGAUAUAAACCCGAGAAAAAAAUAAUUAUUAUAAUUAUUAUUCAAUAUUAUUAGCAUUUAUAUAUAUAAUUUCUUUAUUAUUUUUGGUUACAUAAAGUACCGUUGUGUUAUUGAAUAAUGAUGCAUAAUUUGCAGCUAGAAAAUGAUUGUUUAGCCCCUACAUUAAUCAAACUAUAUGAUUUGUCUUAAUAAGUUCAUCAUAGAUAUUGAGGGGGAAAUAGGUUUUCUUUAUUUUUAUUUUUAUUUUUAUUUUCAUUAAUUACAUGUUUUGUAGAUCUACUCAAGUGAUUUAUUUUUUUUCUCUUAAAGAAAAUAAAAAAGAGUGGUAGUGGGCAGUAAAUGGUGUAAUGGAGAAGCUAUAAUUUUCCCUUGGCUUUUAAGCUAAGGAUUGUCCCUAAAAUGUAAAAGAUGCCAUAUCAUUAUCCUACUUUAGUGACAUGGAUAUGCAAUUUCUAUCUUCAUAAUUAUAUUUAAAAUUUUAGAUAAAUAAUUAAUUCUUGAAAUAUUUAAACAUAUAUAUAUAUAUAUGUCAUGUCAUUUUUAAUGUUAUUUAUUUAACUUAACCUUUGCUAUUGUAUUUAAUAUUAAAAGAAAAAAAAUAAAGGUGAUGGUGAUGGUGAUUUAAUAAACUAAGGUUGCUUUGUUUUAAGAAAUUUAGCAUUUAGGUGAGGAUUUGGUGACAUUUUACAUUAUUUUUAUAUGCUUUUAUUAUAAUGUCUAAUCUUUAACAAUAAAAUAAAGCAGCAGUUAGCUGUUUUGUUGUACACCUUGGAUGAUGCAAUGCAUCACCUAAAUCAUUUCCAUAUAUUUUUGUUUCUAUUAAAUUGUCUACUGAAUUUUAGUUUGACUGAUAUUAUUAUUAAAUACAAAAAAAAUAUGGACUCAAGCAUGUUGAAACACAUUUUUCUUUUUAUUCAGUUAUGUAUAGUUUUAUACAUGGUAUAAAAAAAUAAUUAAUAAAUUGAGAUUAAAAAUAUGAUGUGAUAGAAUUAAAAUACAAGACACCAUCCAAUGUGCAAGUUAAUCACUUUAAAAUAUAAUUAAGAAAUUAAAUAAUAAAUUAUGCAAUAAAAUAUAUUCCUCUGUAUAUAAAUGAUAAAUUUUAUAAAUAAUUCUUGAAAAGUAUUAAAUUAUGUCAAAAAUUAAAUAUAGAGAUAAAAUCUUAAAUUUAAGCGUAAUAUAGGGACUAAAACUAAAUUUGAUUAUCGUUAUAUAAUCUAAAAAGAGAAAUGAAAGGAUCAAAACUGAAAUUAAACAAAUUUGAGUGUAGUAUAGAGAUUGAAAUAGAAAUUUAACCAUUAUUACAUAAAGUAAGAAAAGUAAAAGGAUCAUAAUUGCAAUUGAACCAUUAUACCAUAAAUCAUAUUAAAAAAAAUCAAGUUGGAUGAUUUUAUGCAUGCUACACCUCACCUGUCUAUAAAAUUAUCACUAUAUUUUUCAAUUUAUUCAUACUUUUUCUUAUAUAUAUAAUUUUGGGCCGAGUUUAACUUUUUAAAAAGAAUAUUAUAUUCUUAUUAUUUUUAAAAAAUGAAGAAAAAUGUGAACGAAACGAUUAAAGGCCCCAAGACCAGAUGAUUAGCCUACCAAUUUUUUCAAGCUAUUUGAGACUCCCAGAUUCAUGAAGAUGCUUAAAGAAAACUUGACAGUCAUGUCAACAAAUCUCUUGGUAAGUACCUGGGAUUUAAUAUGAAGCAUAUUUCUUCUAAAAGCUCAUUUUUUCAAUCUACCAUUAAUACGCUGAAUAUCAAGCUCUAAGGAUGGAAGUCCAAAUUGCUCUCUUCUGGUUGUAGGUUGACUAUGAUUUUCUCUGUAGGUACCUAAAUUUACCCGGGCCCAUAAUUGCUAAUCAGCCCAGACCCAAAAAAGAAAUAUAAACUAAAACCCAAUUACAAGGACAGCCCGAUAGGCCCAAAAUCAAGCCAAUCUUGGCAAACCGAAACCCUAGUCUCCUCCCCUGGCGCUGUACCCUUCCCAUGUGCGCCCUCGGCAUGCACGACGCCCAAGGGCCGACUUUGCCUUCAACCUUACACCAAAAUGGCAUGCUUUCACUGCCGUUGACCCCCCUAGGCCUGCAAAACAGAAGCAAAAGAGAGCAAAGCAGCAGAAGCAAAAGGAAAUAGUAACAAACAGUAGAAAAAUCUUUGUAUUCGGCUAUAAGAAAAGCCUGGAACAAACAAUUUUUUUACACAGACUAUUAAGGAAAAAGAGCAAAAUACAAGCAAAGGUUGAUUCCAAUCUCGUUUUCGACUCGUUCUUCAUAUUUUAUUUAUGCUUUCAUUUUUUUAUUUUUCAUUUUUAUUUUUUAAUCAUAAAUCUAUUUUAAACAAAAUAAAAAGGGAGUAAAAACUCACCGAAACCGCCCCGUGACCGCUUCGUCGGAGGGCUUUUCGUCGUUGUCGCGUUCGAACCCAAAAGGGGGUGCGAACCAUUAUCCUUGCGCUUCCGAGGAUUGAUGGUGUUAUAACCUUCAAACGCGCCUUGAAACGGGGCUUAAUGCCCACCCUUGUGCACUGUCGGCCGCCGGGUACAGUGGUGGCACGAUAGAUGGAGAUUUGGGUGUCCCCUUUGGCCGGCUACAAGGAGAGAAGGGAGAGAGUUAGGGGAAUCUCAGAUUUUUUUUAGAGAGGAGGUUGCAAAUGAAAAUUUCUGAAAAAAAUGGGCUUAAAUGCAACCCUGGAAACGAUGCCGUUUUUGGGUGGUAGUCCAGGUGCCAAAAUGGCACCGUUUUGGCCAACCCGUUUUCGACCCGACCCGCUCCAUGCCAAGACCCGAGCGUUUCCGCUUUAAUGGGUUAUUUAUGGAUCCGAUCCCUUCACUUUUGUGGUCUGUCGCAAUUCAGCCUUAUUUCCUUUUCUUUUCUUUUGAUUUUUACCCUGUAAUUCUUGAAAUGUUCAGAUUCGGUCGCUAUUGAAGUUAU